UUUGCUAGGCGGGAUCUCGCAUCGUGGGAUCCGAUUCCGAUCACUGAUCUGUGUGGCGUUUUCUUUUCUUGUUGGUGUCGCGAAUAAGGCAAAUGAGCUCGUGUGUGUGUGGCUGGAAUUGCACCAGCGUGCAGUUUUUGCGCUUUGCGUGUGUGUGGUCGUGAAAACUCUUGAGAUGGAACAAUGUCUUCGUAAUGCUUUCAGAUUUGUCGCUUGGCAAGCCUUAAAUAAGAUGUUUGUGUGUCUUUCUAGUCGAUGAUGUAAGCAUGAUUUCUAAUUCCCGUAUUGAAUUUUUAAAAAGCAAAUCAAUUUGUAUUUGGGCAAAGCACUGAACGAGAACUAAAAAAAACCCGCAAAAAAAAAGAACUAAAAGAAAAUUUGAUAUUGAUUAAAAUCCGGCUAAACUUGAGGAACUUUCCAAAAAACAAAUCACUUAAGAAGCCUGUAGCUUCCGAUGUAAAAAUAUGGCGGAGUACUUAGAAAGGGUAAUUUGGUGUAGCACGAGUUUGAUAAAUGCAAAUAAUUCAAGCAAUCGCAAACCAAACCAAUCUGUGGUUGAAUGUUAGUAGGACAGUAGUAUUUUCGGCCACCAGCGUUCAAGUCCUAAAUUUGACACUAAUGCUUAUAUUUUUUGAAUUUAUUUUAUGCCUUCCUGCUACUGCUAUAUACGUUCAGUGCGAGGAGACGUUUCCAUCAACUAGAAAGGUGUUUGUGGCGACUUUAUCGAUCUCAAAAUAGUGUGUCGUCUCAGUCAAACAAAAAUGCUCAUAAAGGUAUAAUGUGAGUGUUCGCGUCUGUACUGUGAUAAAAAGACUCCAAAAUUACUAGCCUCUAGACAUGUUGCUUCACACCUCGAGUUUAUUCAAAUUAUAGUUCUCUGGGCCUUGCAUUUAUUCUUUUUAUUUUUGUGACCUUCUCCAUAUUUUUAUUUAUUUAUGAUAAUUUGUCAAUUUUUUCUUGAUAGUUCAUAUGUAUUUUUUUAUUUUUAAACAAUUUCCAAAUAUACAUCAAAGCCUAUCUUGUGACGUGCCAUUACUUUUAUUAAGGUAAUGGCAUGUCAUUCCUAAGAGCAUCUUCAAGGCGGACCCGUAAAUCUCUCGUAACCGUUCAGAGCGCGCUGUCCAGACCGUGAAAGCCAUCCAACGCCGAUCUGUAUCGUUUUGGGGGACGGUCCGGACGCGAUUUCUCCUGCAAAUCGGAGACAAAAGUGGGGAGGUUUGCGGGAACCCGGACUGAUCGCAAGACCGUUUUUGACCGCCCUGGCCCACCAAAACCCCUUCCUCUCCGGCUGAAGCAUCCUCUUUGCCACUCCGAUGAGCGGCGCAUUCGGACAUAUGGAAGAUACGAGGGAAGAACAUGCCUCCGGGGCUCACGGCAGUCUCGUUAUUCUGGGAUGCCGAACAUGGGGAAGACAAGUUGCGGCUGCUACUUGUGAGUUGCGUUGGGAUUUCCACGAAGAGGAGGGGAUGAUGCAGUACAGUAGAGAUAAGUAUUUCCCUCAGUUAUGAAAUUAAGGUUAUCAAUCUAGUAGGAGAAUCAUGCAACACCUCGUUAACAGCACCUGCACACAAGAUAACAAAUCUUUGCACCCAACGCGAACAAGGGGUUGUCAAUCCCUCGGCGGUUAUUUGCAAGAUUAAAUUGUGUAAUGAUUGAUAGAUAGAUUGAACAAAAAAAUACAAAAUAAAUAAAUAAAGUAAAAUAAUAAUGACGAUAUCCAAGACAAUGAUCAUGUAUAUAGACAUCACGUCCAAGACAAGUAGAACAAAAUAAUUUUGCAUCUACUACUAUUACUCCACACAUCGACCGCUAUCCAACAUGCAUCUAGAGUAUUAACUUCAUAAAGAACGGAGUAACGCCUUAAGCAAGAUGACAUGAUGUAGACAAAGUAAACUCACGCAUGAAUAAACCCCAUCUUUUUAUCCUUAAUAGCAACGAUACAAUACGUGACAUGUCCCCUACUGUCACUGAGAUUGAGCACCACAAGAUCGAACCCAUUACAAAGCACCUAUUCCAUUGCAAAAAAAUCAAUCUAGUCGGCCAAACCAAACCAAUAGAUCGGGAGAAAUAUGAAGCUAUAAUAAUAAUGCAUAAAAAGAGUUCAGAGAAGACUCAAAUAGUAUUCAUGAAUAAUCUGAUCAUAAACUCACAAUUCAUCAGAUCCCAACAAACACACUGCAAAAGGUGAUUACAUAGAAUAGAACUCCAAGAACAUCGAGGAGAAUAUUGUAUUGAAGAUCAAAGAAAGAGAUGAAGCCAUCUCGCUACUAACUAUGAAUACAGCUCCUCCGUGAUUGAUUCCUCCUCCAGCGGAGUGCCGGAAAAGGCCCCCAGAUGGGAUCUCUCGAGAACAGAAGCUUGCGGCGGCAGAAAAGGUAUUUCUUGGACUCCUCUUUUGGUUUCUCGAUUUUAGAGAAUUUAUAGAGGCGGAGUUAGGUCAAACGGAGCUACAUGGGCCCCACGAGCCACCAGGGCGCGCCUAUCCCUCCCCCCCAGGCGUGCCCUAUUGCCUCAUGGGCCACUGCUCCAUCUUCUGGUCCUCUCCCGAAGCUUCCAGGAUCUCUUAUGUCCAGAAAAAAAAUCUGCAAAAAGUUUCGUUGCAUUUGGAUUUCGUUUGGUACUGAUAUUCUGGAAACCAAAAACAUGCAAAAAAAAACAGCAACUGGCAAUGGGCACUAAGUUAAUAGGUUAGUCCCAAAAAAUGAUAUAUAUAAUUGCUUGUAAAUGUAUAUAAAACAUCCAAGAUUGAUAAUAUAAUAGCAUGGAACAAUAAAAAAUUAUAGAUACGUUGGAGACGUAUCAAGCAUCCCCAAGCUUAAUUCCUGCUCGUCCUCGAGUAGGUAAAUGGUAAAAACAGAAAUUUUGAUGUGGAAUGCUACCUAUCAUAUUCAUCAUUGUCGGGCCCGUGGGACCAGGGGUACCCAAGCUCAUCUGUCUUCGGCCGAGGACGCAGCGCAUGUCGAGGGCCCAGCGGAUGGCCCACCAGCAAGCUUCAUGAGCAAGCUCCUCGCGAGACCCCCGUCAGUAGGCGUCUCGAGCUGACCGAAUGGCGCCACCUGGAGCCUCGCAAGGCCCUCUCGCGAGGCGGCCUCCCGAGGCCCCCUCUCGGAGGCGAGCAAAUCAGGGGCUGCUCAGCCCGGUCAAUCUUGAAUCUUCACGUGGGCAACGCGCGCGGCGACGAGCGAUGCCAGAGGUCGUGCCAGCAGACGCCGAUAAGGAGGUUUUCCUCUUUCGUGCUAAGGGAGCAAGGCCAUCAUGCCAGUUCCCAAAGAAACCCCCAAUUAGGUUGCCCCAAUGGUGCAAGAAGACCAAGACGACAGGCGCAGGGCCGAGGUCAUCACCGAGGUCAGCGGCGCGUCAUGGACGGUGGCUUUGCAGGCGAAGACCACCGAUAGAAUGCGCCCUUAUCCCCCUUCAAAAUUGCAAUUGUGUGGCAACCCUUCCCGCCAAUGUCUUCGGGGGAAGAGGACCAAGGCAAGUAUAAAGGAGGGCAGGGUGCUGCUUUAGUGAAGGAUCGACUCCCUUGUACUCUCAUCCUCUCUCGCGAGUGCAAUCCAAACCAAGCAGGAGUAGGGUUUUACACCGCAAGAUGGCCCUUUAACCUGGGUAACUGUUGUGUCUCUGGCCCACUCCCGCUAGCUCGCUCUAGCUAUUGCCUCGCUGUGGUUAGCUGCAGGAAAGACUAGGGCGGUAGGAACGAGGGCACCCCAGAGUUCGAACCUUUGGGUCCCCGGAGCCCUGAUUCCGACAUUUGGCGCGCCAGGUAGGGGUGUGCUGUCGUUCUUCCGAUUCGCUCUGCCUUCUGCUUCGUCAAGCUCCAUGGCUGACGCCCGCCGCGAGCGUGCUAAGCGUCGGGCAGGUCGCAUCGCCCAGACGGAGCCUGUGGGCUGCGGCAACCGCCGCUGCCCGGCUGGAGCUGAGGCUGCCGCCGCCACCGACCCUGCUGCCCGCGAGUAGCAAAACUCCUUCAUGCACCCCCUCCGUGAGGCCCAACAGCCACACCGUCCUCGCAGGUGGCAUCCCCACGGGCGAUGUGGGCUGCUAGGCCUUCACCAGCGAGCUGCGUCGGGUAGUCUGGCCUACAAAAUUUAGGCCGCAGCUGCCCCCGCGCUACAACGGCGCCCUCGGCCCCGCAAGGUUCCUUCAGCUCUACGCGCUAAGCAUCGAGGCGGCGGGCGGCGAUGACAAGGUCAUGGCAAACUGGUUUCCUGUGGCCCUCGAGGACGGGUCGUGCUCCUGGCUCAUGAGCCUUCCCGAGGCCUCGAUCUCUUGAUGGGACGAGCUCUGUGACCAAUUCGUCGUGCGCUUCGCCUAGCUCGGCAGGGGCGCCGGGGCCUUCCAGGAGCUCCACGCAGUGGCAUGCAUCCUCGGCGGGGUUCAGGCCCCUGUGUUCGAUCACCGCCGAAAGCAGCCCUCUCGCAAGGUGAACGCUGCUUCCCAGGGGCCCAAGGCUGCGCGGCCCCCCCGAGCGGACGCAAUGCGACAUCACCUUCGACUUCGGAGAUCACCCCAGGUCCACGACCGCUGCAGGUGCGCUCCCCAUGCUGUGCACCCCAACCAUCAGCAACGUCGCGGUCACCAAGACCCUUAUCGACGGGGGCGCUGGCCUCAACGUGAUCUCCAUCGAGACCUUCGAGGCGGUCCAAGUGCCUUACGACCAGCUGAUGCUGACCAGGCCCUUCUCUGGGGUGAUAGAUGGGUCUACCAUCCCCCUUGGGCAGGUGCACCUCCCUGUCACCUUUGGCACCCGUGAGAACUACCGCACCGAUCUCAUCGACUUUGAUCUGGCGCGCAUUGGCCUGCCAUACAACGCCAUCUUGGGCUACCUGGCACUCGCCAAGUUCAUGGCGGCGACCCACCCCAACUACAAUGUUAUCAAGAUGUCUGGCUGCAGCGGUGUUAUCACCGUCGCUUGCAACGAGAAGGAUGCAGUUUGCUCCUCAUGCACGCGUACAAGGCCGCGGCGUUCACACACUCGACUGCCAAGGGCGAGGCCAAGCCUCCCGAGGCCGUGAUAACCCACAAGUAUAGGGGAUCAUUGUAGCCUCUUUCGAUAAGUAAGAUUGUCGAACCCAACAAGGAGCUAAAGGUAGAACAAAUAUUCCCUCAAGUUCUAUCGACCACCGAUACAACUCUACGCAUGCUUGACGUUCACUUUACCUAGAACAAGAAUAAAACUAGAAGUACUUUGUACGUGUUUUUGGAUAGGUUUGCAAGAAUAUAAAGAGCACGUAAAUAAAAGCUAGGGGCUGUUUAGAUAAAGACACAACUAAAUUAGUUUUAGUAAAGUGCUUUUUGUCACGAGAAAGUUAUUUGUCCCUAGGCAAUCGAUAACUAGACCGGUAAUCAUUAUUGCAAUUUUAUUUGAGGGAGAGGCAUAAGCUAACAUACUUUCUCUACUUGGAUCAUAUGCACUUAUGAUUGGAACUCUAGCAAGCAUCCGCAACUACUAAAGAUCAUUAAGGUAAAACCCAACCAUAGCAUUAAAGCAUCAAGUCCUCUUUAUCCCAUACGCAACAACCCCCUUACUCAGGUUUGUGUUUCAGUCACUCACGCAACCCACUAUAAGAGAAUCAUGAACGUAUUGCAACACCCUACAGCGGGGAUCCCUCACGCUUGCGCGACACGGAGAGCACCAUAGGACAGCACCAAUAAUAAAACAUGCCACUCAAACCAAUCUUGAUCAUCAAAUAACCCAUAGGACAAAACAGAUCUACUCAAACAUCAUAGGAUAGCCAUACAUCAUUGGGAAAUAAUAUAUAGCGUUGAGCACCAUGUUUAAGUAGAGAUUAGAGCGGGUAAGAGAGAGGUUACACCGCUGCAUAGAGGAGGGAAGAGUUGGUGAUGAUGGCGGUGAAGUUGUUGGUGAAGAUUGCGGUGAUGAUGAUGGCCCCCGGUGGCACUCCGGCGCCACCGGAAGCGAGGGAGAGAGAGCCCCCCCCCCCCUCCUUCUUCUUCCUUGACCUCCUCCCUAGAUGGGAGAAGGGUUUCCCCUCUAGUCCUUGGUCUCCAUGGCAUGGGAGGGGCGAGAGCCCCCCCGAGAUUGGAUCUGUCUCUCUGUCUCUCUCUCUCUGUUUUUGCAUUCUGGGAUUCUGCCGUGGCCCGUUUCUUUUAUAUCUGGAGAUCCGUAACUCCGAUUGGAUUGAAACCUUCGCCCAGAUCUUUUUCCAAAAAUUAGCUUUCUUGCCGCCAAAGUAGAGCAUCAACCGCCUUACGGGUGGCCCACGAGGGUCAGGGGCGUGCCUGCCCGGAGUGGGCGUGGGCCCCACCCUCGUGGCCACCUCGGGCACCGUCUCGCGUUGAUUUUACUUCCCAAAAUCACAAAUAUUCCAAAAUAAUUCUCCAUCCAUUUUUAUCCCGUUUGGACUCCGUUUGAUAUGGGGUUUCUGCGAAACAUAAAACAUGCAACAAACAGGAACUGGCACUGGGCACUGGAUCAAUAUGUUAGUCCCAAAAAUAGUAUAAAAAGUUGCCAAAAGUAUAUGAAAGUUGAAUAAUAUUAGCAUGGAACAAUAAAAAAUUAUAGAUACGACGGAGACGUAUCAGCAUCCCCAAGCUUAAUUCCUGCUCGUCCUCGAGUAGGUAAAUGAUAAAAAGAUAAUUUUUUAUGUGGAAUGCUACCUAGCAUUAUCUUGAUCAUGUAUCUAAUCAUGGCAUGAAUAUUAAGACACGAGUGAUUCAAAGCAUUAGUCUAUCAUUUGACAUAAAAACAAUAAUACUUCGAGCCUACUAAUAAAGCAAUCAUGUCUUUUCAAAAUAACAUGGCCAAAGAAAGUUAUCCCUACAAAAUCAUAUAGUCUGGCUAUGCUCCAUCUUCACCACACAAAAUAUUCACAUCAUGCACAACCCCGAUGACAAGCCGAGCAAUUGGUUCAUACUUUUUAACGCGCUUAAACUUUUUCAACCCUCACGCAAUACAUGAGCGCAAGCCAUGGACAUAGCACUAUAGGUGGAAUAGAAUAUGAUGAUGGGGGUUAUGUGGAGAAGACAAAAAAGGAGAAAGUCUCACAUCGACGCGGCUAAUCAACGGGAUAUGGAGAUGCCCAUCAAUUGAUGUCAAUGUGAGGAGUUGGGAUUGCCAUGCAACGGAUGCACUAGAGCUAUAAGUAUAUGAAAGCUCAAACUGAAACUAAGUGGGUGUGCAUCCAACUUGCUUGCUCAUGAAGACCUAGGGCAUUUGAGGAAGCCCAUUGUUGGAAUAUACAAGCCAAGUUCUAUAAUGAAAAUUCCCACUAGUAUAUGAAAGUCAUAACACAAGAGACUCUCUAUAUGAAGAACAUGGUGCUACUUUGAAGCACAAGUGUGGUAAAAGGAUAGUAACAUUGCCCCUUUUUUGCGGGCUUCUUUGGCCCCCUUUUUUUAAUGGGGCAAUGCUCUAAUAAUGAUGAUCAUCACACUUUUAUUUACUUACAACUCAAUAUUACAACUCGAUACUAGAACAAAGAUAUGACUCUAUAUGAAUGCCUCCGGCGGUGUACCGGGAUGUGCAAUGAUCUAGCGUAGCAAUGACAUCAAAAAACGGACAAGCCAUGAAAACAUCAUGCUAUCUAUCUUACGAUCAUGCAAAGCAAUAUGAAAAUAAAUGCUCAAGUCAUGUAUAUGAUGAUGAUGGAAGUUGCAUGGCAAUAUAUCUCGGAAUGGCUAUGGCAAUGCCAUGAUAGGUAGGUAUGGUGGCUGUUUUGAGGAAGAUACAAUGAGGCUUAUGUGUGACAGAGCGUAUCGUAUCACGGGGUUUGGAUGCACCGGCAAAGUUUGCACCAACUCUCGAGGUGAGAAAGGGCAAUGCACGGUACCAAAGAGGCUGGCAAUGAUGGAAGGGUGAGACUAUGUAUAAUCCAUGGACUCAACAUUAGUCAUAAAGAACUCAUAUACUUAUUGCAAAAGUUUAUUAGCCCUCGAAGCAACGUACUACUAUGCAUGCCCCUAGGGGGAUAGAUUGGUAGGAAAAGACCAUCGCUCGUCCCCGACCGCCACUCAUAAGGAAGACAAUCAAUAAAUACCUCAUGCUCCGACUUCGUUACAUAACGGUUCACCAUACGUGCAUGCUACGGGAAUCACAAACCUCAACACAAGUAUUUCUACAACCCACAACUACCCACUAGCAUGACUCUAAUAUCACCAUCUUUAUAUCGCAAAACUAUUGCAAGGAAUCAAACACAUCAUAUUCAGUGAUCUACAAGUUUUAUGUAGGAUUUUAUGACUAACCAUGUGAAUGACCAGUUCCUGUCAUCUCUCUAAAUAGAUAUAAGUGAAGCAUGAGAGUUUAAUUCUUUCUACAAAAUAUAUGCCCACGCUCUAACAAAUAUAAGUGAAGCGAAAGAGCAUUCUACAAAUGGCGGUUUUCUAUGUAAAGAGAAACAGGCAAUCCAAACUUCAAAUAAUAUAAGUGAAGCACAUGAAGCAUUCUAUAAAGCCAUACUCAAAGAAUAUAAGUGAAGUGCAAAGAGCAUUCUAUAAAUCAACCAAGGACUAUCUCGCACCAGCAUGGUGCAUAAAAGAAAAAUGAAAACUAAAUGCAAAAGACGCUACAAGAUUUGCACAUAUCACAUAAACGAAACGAAUCCGAAAACAUACCGAUACUUGUUGAAGAAAGAGGGGAUGCCUUCCGGGGCAUCCCCAAGCUUAGAUGCUUGAGUCUCCUUGAAUAUUUACUUGGGGUGCCUCGGGCGUCCCCAAGCUUGAGCUCUUGCCUCUCUUCCUUCUUCUCACAUCGAGACCUUCUCGAUCAUCGAACACUUCAUCCACACAAAACUUCAACAGAAAACUCGGUAAGAUCCGUUAGUAUAAUAAAACAAAUCACUACUCUAAGUACUGUUGCAAACCAAUUCAAAUUUUGUUUUUGCAUUGUGUCUACUGUAGUAUAACUUUUUCAUGGCUUAAUCCACUGAUAUAAAUCGAUAGUUUCAUCAAAACAAGCAAACUAUGCAUCAAAAACAGAAUCUGUCUAAAACAGAACAGUCUGUAAUAAUAUGAACAUUCACCAUACUUAUGAUACUUGUAAAAUUCUGCAAAAAUUAGAAAAAAUAAACAAUUUGUAUAGAAAAAAAGUGCAAAAAUAAUCAUAACCUUUUGACGUUCCAGUAAAAAAAUAAAAAUCGUGCACUACAGCCAAAGUUUCUGUCCUGCACCGCACAAACCAACAAGCAUUGUAAACAUCCUAAAGGCAAACCUUGGCACAUUAUUUUUAUAAUACAAUAGAAUUGUACAAGGGGAUAAUUAUUUUUGUUGAAAAGUUUCUGUAAUCAAGAUUCACAAAGUUUCCGUGAGCAUGAACAAAGUUCAAGGCUAGCUCCCACUUCAACAAUGCUUGUCUUUCUCACUUUUGCUUUUCUUUUUGAAAAGUUUCGGGUUCCCCUCUUUAUUUUUGUUGUUUUUAAACUAUAUAAAAGCACUCAACAGAAAUAAAUGACUCUCUAAAGCUUCCGGGUUGUCUCCCUGGCAGCGCUUUCUUUAAAGCCAUUAAGCUAGGCAUAUAGUGCUCAAGUAAUGAAUCCACCCGGAUCCCAAGGUAUAUCAAAGCCAAUUUUAAUUAGCAAUGAUUUGUAAUUUAGUAGUGAGCACAAAGCAACAUAUAUCAAGCAAUGACGAAGUCUAACUCUCUUCCUAUGCUUCGGCAUGUCAUAAAAUAACAAUUCAUGCACACAAAGUAAAGGCCAAUGCAUAGUAUAAGCAGUUUCUUGCAAUUUUAUCAUGUGGGAAACAUAGAGAGGUGGAGAUAUAGUUCAUCUCUCAUAAUAAUUGCAAGUAGGAGCAGCAAGCACAUGCAUAUUAUAUUCAUCAAAAUCAUCAUGUGCAAUGGUAAAAGGCAACUUAUCAAUAUAAUCCUUAAUAAGCACAAACUUCUCCGAUAUAGUGUAGUCGGGAGAAUUCAAAAAGAUAAUAGGACUAUCAUGCGUGGGUGCAAUAGCAACAAUUUCAUGUUUAACAUAAGGAACUAUAGCAAGUUCAUCUCCAUAAGCAUAAAUCAUAUUGGCAUCUUGGCCACAAGCAUAGCAAGCAUCAUCAAAAAGGGAUAUUUCAAAAGAAUCAAAGGGAUCAUAACAGUCAUCAUAGCAAUCAUCCUUCGGUAAGCACGAAGGGGAAUUAAACAAUGUAUGAGUUGAAGAGUUACUCUCAUUCGAAGGUGGGCACGGGUGAUCAAUCCGCUCUUCCUCCUUUUGUUCUUCGCUCUCCUCCUCAUCUUUUUCAUCCAAUGAGCUCACAGUUUCAUCAACUUCUUCUUCCAUAGAUUCCUGCAAAAUAUUAGUCUCUUCUUGGAUAGCGGAGACUUUCUCAAUAAGUGCAUUAAUAUCGGAAUUGUAUUCAUAAUUCUCAUAGCAAUAUUUGAGCAUAGCUAAAUUUUCAGGUCUAUAAACAGCAUCAUCAAAAUCUUCAAACUCUUUAAACAUAGAUUCAAUUUCAUAAGCACCCAUAAAAGCAACAAAUUCUUCUAUUUGUUCCACAUCAUAGUAAUCAUAUAUACCAUUAGCAUAAGAAGCUAAGGUUUUAUUAUCAUUAAAUAUGCAUGAAAAGGGAAGGUGUGGAGCCUUCAUCCUAGAGCAACAAGUAUAAUCAUAUCUCAAGCAUAGUUGCCUAGCAUACCAUUUCAACAUAUAAAUUUGAUCCCUAAAAUAUUCAUGUUGAUCCAACGUUACUCCCAUUACAAAGUUGAAUGGGGUUUUCUCAGGAUUAUCAAAGUAGUACAUAAUAUCUAUCACAUAAUGAGCAUCGAGGGUUUUAGGAGGUUCCCCAUCUCCAUGAGUAGCAAGUACAACUAAUUUUUUUGGUAUUUCGUGUUUCAUAUCCAUAACUAAAGAUAGAGAACAACUAAGAACAGCAAAUCAAAAUUACUUAGUGAUAAAGCAAACAAGCACACACGAGAAUAUUCACCCCACGCUAUUGCUCCCCGGCAACAGCGCCAAAAAAAGGUCUUGAUAACCCACAAGUAUAGGGGAUCAUUGUAGCCUCUUUCGAUAAGUAAGAGUGUCGAACCCAACGACGAGCUAAAGGUAGAACAAAUAAUCCCUCAAGUUCUAUCGACCACCGAUACAACUCUACGCAUGCUUGACGUUCACUUUACCUAGAACAAGAAUAAAACUAGAAGUACUUUGUAGGUGUUUUUGGAUAGGUUUGCAAGAAUAUAAAGAGCACGUAAAUAAAAUCUAGGGGCUGUUUAGAUAAAGACACAACUAAAUUAGUUUUAGUAAAGAGCUUUUUGCCACGAGAAAGUUAUUUGUCCCUAGGCAAUCGAUAACUAGACCGGUAAUCAUUAUUGCAAUUUUAUUUGAGGGAGAGCAUAAGCUAACAUACUUUCUCUACUUGGAUCAUAUGCACUUAUGAUUGGAACUCUAGCAAGCAUCCGCAACUACUAAAGAUCAUUAAGGUAAAACCCAACCAUAGCAUUGAAGCAUCAAGUCCUCUUUAUCCCAUACGCAACAACCCCCUUACUCGGGUUUGUGUUUCAGUCACUCACGCAACCCACUAUAAGCGAAUCAUGAAUGUAUUGCAACACCCUACAGCGGGGAUCCCUCACGCUUGCGCGACACGGAGAGCACCAUAGGACAGCACCAAUAAUAAAACAUGCAACUCAAACCAAUUUUGAUCAUCAAAUAACCCAUAGGACAAAACAGAUCUACUCAAACAUCAUAGGAUAGCCAUACAUCAUUGGGAAAUAAUAUAUAGCAUUGAGCACCAUGUUUAAGUAGAGAUUAGAGCGGGUAAGAGAGAGGUUACACCGCUGCAUAGAGGAGGGAAGAGUUGGUGAUGAUGGCGGUGAAGUUGUUGGUGAAGAUUGCGGUGAUGAUCAUGGCCCCCGGUGGCACUCCGGCGCCACCAGAAGCGAGGGGGAGAGAGAGCCCCUCCUUCUUCUUCUUCCUUGACCUCCUCCCUAGAUGGGAGAAGGGUUUCCCCUCUGGUCCUUGGUCUCCAUGGCAUGGGAGGGGCGAGAGCCCCUCCGAGAUUGGAUCUGUCUCUCUGUCUCUCUCUGUUUCUGCGUUCUGGGAUUCUGCCCUGGCACCGUUUCUUUUAUAUCUGGAGAUCCGUAACUCCGAUUGGAUUAAAACCUUCGCCCAGAUCUUUUUCCAAAAAUUUUCUUUCUUGCCGCCAAAGUAGAGCAUCAACCGCCUUACGGAUGGCCCACGAGGGUCAGGGGCCUGCCUGCCUGGAGUGGGCAUGGGCCCCACCCUCGUGGCCACCUCGGGCACCGUCUCGCGUUGAUUUUACUUCCCAAAAAUCAUAAAUAUUCCAAAAUAAUUCUCCGUCCAUUUUAUCCCGUUUGGACUCCGUUUGAUAUGGGGUUUCUGCGAAACAUAAAACAUGCAACAAACAGGAACUGGCACUGGGCACUGGAUCAAUAUGUUAGUCCCAAAAAUAGUAUAAAAAGUUGCCAAAAGCAUAUGAAAGUUGAAUAAUAUUGGCAUGGAACAAUCAAAAAUUAUAGAUACGACGGAGACGUAUUGGGCCGCGCCAGCAAGGAAGAAGCAAUUGUUCUCCGAGGACCGCGUGGAAACAAAGAAAGUGACGGUUGAUGGUAGUGACUCAGGCCUACCUUCACCAUCGGCGCCAGCGUCCCCCCUGAGCAGGAAGGUGCGCUCGUCGCCUUCCUUUGGGCAAACUCAGAUGUGUUCACCAAGAAGGCGUCUGAUUUGUUUGGAGUAUCGAGGGAGGUAAUCGAGCUCCGCUUAGCGGUGUGCCCCAAUGCACGCCCCAUCAAACAAAAGGCUCGGUGCCAGGCGCCAGAGAAGCAAGAAUUUAUCGUCCAUGAGGUGCACAAGAUGCAAGAAGCUGGAGUCAUCCGAGAGGUGCGCCACUUGGAGUGGCUCGCCAACCCAGUCGUCAUCCGCAAGAAGGGAGGCAAGGAGCGCAUGUGCGUCAACUUCACGAGCCUCGACAUGGCCUGCCCCCAGGACCCCUUUUCGCUGCCGCGCAUCGACCAGAUCGUGGACUCCACCACCGGGUGCGACCUACUGUGCCUCCUAGAUGCCUUCUCGGGCUACCAUCAGAUAGAUGGCGGCAGAAGAUGUGGAGAGGACAGCCUUCAUCUCCCCUUGCAGCGAAUUCUGCUACACCUGCAUGCCUUUCGGCUUGAGGAGUGUUGGUGCCACCUUCCAGCGGCUAAUGCGCAUCACGCUGGGGCCUCAGCUGGGAAGGAACGCGGAGGCUUAUGUCGAUGACAUCGUGGUCAAAGCGCGUGAGGCCAGAACGCUCAUCAAAGAUCUAGAGGAGACAUUCACCAACUUGCGCAAAAGUGCGUCUUUGGAGUCCCAUCUGACAAGCUCCUCAGCUUCCUCAUAUCCCACUGAGGAAUCAAAGCCAACCCAUAGAAGGUCAUGGCCAUCAAGAGGAUGCGCGCUCCCCGGACCCUCAAGGAAAUGCAGCGAUUGGUGCGGUGCAUGGCCUCCCUAGGGCGCUUCAUCUCCAAGUUCGGCGAGCGAGCCUUGCCAUUCUUCAAGCUCAUGAAGACGCCCGGUCCCUUCGAAUGGACUCUUGAGGCAGACACGGCCUUUGAAGAUCUCAAGAGGUACCUCACGAGCCCGCAUCAUGGUCACACCGCGCCCUCGCGAGCCCUUGCCCUUUACAUGGCAGCCACCCCCAGACGGCCAGUGCAGCGCUCGUCGCGGUAUGGGAGGAGCGUGUCAGUGCUAAGGAGAAACCUUCCAAGCCUCGUGAGCUUCCCGAGUCCCCCGGGCCUCACGAGCCCUCCGAGCCCCGCGAGCCUCACGAGCCCCCCAAGCCUCACGAGCCACCCAUGGAGCAAGCUGCCUCAACCGCCUUGCACCUCAUCGAGCACCCCGUGUACUUCGUCAGCACAGUGUUGAGGGAUGUGCGUGAGCGCUACCCCAUGUAGCAGAAGCUCGUCCUCGCGCUUCUCGUCGCCUCCAGGAAGCUGCACCACUAUUUCCAUGGCCACCCCAUUAAGGUCAUUUCUGCGUACCCCCUCGAGCAAGUCCUAGCAGCCCCAACACAGCUGGCCGAGUCGCAAAAUGGAACAUCGAACUGCAGGCCUUCCAGCUGGAGUUCUUCACCACCAGGGUCAUCAAGGGUGCGGCCCUCGCCGACUUCGUGGUAGAAUGGACGGCCCCGUGUGAGGAAGAACCUCGCAAAAACAAGUCCCUCCUGCCUGGGGACGAGGCACCCAGUGGCUUAGGUGGUAACAUAACACAUUUCAAGAAAAAUUUGCUUAUGUGACAUGAAGUUAAUGAGGAGAGAGAUGCUUGUGGUAACAUAAUAUGUUACUGUAACGUAACACACCCCGAGGUAAAAUGAGUCUAUAUCUCAAUUAAUGAAGGCUUGCAUGUUACCAUCUAUAUGUUACUACCCAUUAUGAAGGUAGUAACUUAGACUAGUAAUAACAUAUGCAUGUUACUACUCCCUCCGUCCGGUGAAAAGUGUACAUAUAAAUUUUUUAGGACAAAUUAUGGAGUGGAGUAGAAAUGCAUUGGAAAGGUGCAAGCCACCAUCUCUCUCCUCAUUAAUUACCCAACCCUCAAUGACUAAGUGCAUGUAGAAAUUAAGGACAUCAUAUGUAGAAUGUUAUUGGUCUUGAUUACCAUGUGAUGAGAGAGAAACAUUUUUUCCUACUUUAAAGUGUAUUGGGAAGAUAAAAGUACACUCUUUUGUGGACAAAUUUUAAAGCCAAAUGUACACUCUGGAAUGGACGGAGGGAGUAGUCUAUGUUACUCCCCACUAUGACUAGCCUAAGAGCAUCUCCAACAGGUGCGCUAUCUUAGCCGUGCAAUGUGAAAAACGACCAUUCUGCACGCGCGCGACCGAAAUCGGCGCUCCAGCAGACACGCUAAAAUCAUGUGCGCGGCAAAGUUGGUUUAGUGCGCUGGGGAAAACGGCAUUGCGAGCGGCUUAUUUGGUGGCGAGGACAUAUACCUAGGGUAGGCUCCUAGGCCUGACCUACAUACCCUACCCAUGGACACCGCAUACAAGAAUCCAAGGCCCACAAAGUUACGAAGGAGUCGCCAACUGGGAUACCUGCAACUUACAAGUCACUCGGAGGAGGGAUUCACUCGGUGAUCUCACCAACACUCGACUGUCACUGGUCACUUGAAGUACCAAGCGUCACUCGACCACAGAAGGCUUAGAGUCACCCCGAGAUAGCAACAGUCAAGAGAUCAGUUCGCCGUCAUAAAGAACAUCUAAUGUUGGCGUUACCUGUAACUCUUGCAUCCUUUAACCUCUCAAUUGAACCCUUGGGUGACGGGGCAUUCAUGAAGGGCCAGCAGACUUUAUAUAAGCCGCCCCUCUACCCCUGCACAAGGGUUCGCACCUUCUAUAACUCAACACUCCAGAAAAACAAAGCUCCCGCAGCACCGAGGCGUAGGGUCUUUACCUCUUCUGAGAGGGGCCUGGACUCGUAAAUCCAAGUGUACAACCACACCAUAGCUAGACUCUGCCCUCUCAUACGUACCCAUAUACUCUACUACCAGAUUUGUUCCCAUGACACUUGGCGCCCACCUUGGGGCAGGCGUCUAAGCGGCUUCCUGCAUGGUUGCGUUUUUCAUCAUCUUCACCAUGGUUUCCGGCGGCGGACUGUCCCUGGGUUGUGAGAUCCGUCUUGGCGCUCUCAGCUUCAUCGUCCAUGAUUCGGCGUGGCUCCAAGAAGCCCCUCUGGACGUAGAGGCGAUCCCUAUUCGCGGGGCAGCGCACUUCCGUGCAAACUCCUACGGUGUCCUCCUCCGGCAGCCGUCGAAUCAGUAUCAGUCGGCUCCAGUGGCGUUUCCCCUGCCCACUGCUCGCCGUCACAAAUGAUACGGUCGCUCUCGGCUCCAGCAGUGGGUGAGGCACGCGGUGGCUCGUCAGUCUUCCACUCUGCAGAUCGCGGCGAUCAAGCCUGAUGAAUCCCUCUACGACAUGUUCGAUCAGUUGUCAGACCACUCUGAUGUUCCAUCCGAGUGUGAGAGUAGUGACUCGGCGGUGGAGGUAUUUAUGGACGGCUCUCAUCGUAGCCCGCCAGGGAUUCCCCAUGAUGGAGAUGGGAGCGAUGGUCCGUCGCAUAUCAAUGACGAGUAUUACCUGCAUCCCCUCGCUGCUGAACAAAGGGAAGAGCUAUUGCACAUGAACGAUCAAGUCCUUCAGACUCCCAUCGCUGGCACGACCGCCAAGGCCCGGGCUUUGGAAGCUGUGCACAUAGCCACUCUGGCAGAACGCACGCGUCUUGAGGAGCUCCAGAAAUCGCUCGACGACCGCACUCGCAGGCAACCCACAAACUCCAAUCGACGGCAGCGGAAACUGUUCCCGAGUGGAUCGCAAAACGAGUACCAGGUAUUCGGCACUCCGAUUCAAAACGUAGCCGCCGCUGCGCGGAUUGCAUAUUCUAUCCAGCCGUCUGAUACGUCUCCAACGUAUCUAUAAUUUAUGAAGUACCCAUGCCAUGUUUACAACAAUUUUAAAUGGUUUUGGUAUGAUUUGAUUAGAACUAACCCGAACUGACACUGUUUUCAGCAAAACUACCGUGGUGUCGUUUUUUGUGCAGAAAUAAAAGUUCUCGGAAUGGGCUGAAAAUUUAUGGUGAUUUUUAGGGACCAAAAGAGAACCCCGAGGCACAAGAGUUGAACCAGAGCUUCAUGAGGAAGCGGCAAGGGUGGAGAGCGCGCCCCCUUGGCUUGUCGCUGCCUCGUGGACCCUCUUGACUUGAGACCGAUGCCAAAAAUUCCUAUAAAUACCAAAACCCCAGAAAGAAACCUAGAUCGGAAGUUCCGCCGCUGCAAGCCUCUAUAGCCACAAAAAAUCGAUCUAGGCCCUCUCCGGCACCCUGCCGGAGCGGGCCAUCAUCACCGGAGGCCAUGGAGGAGGAAGCCGGAGGGGGCCAUCAUCACCAUGGAGGCCAAGGACCAGAGGGAGAACCUCUCCCCAUCUAGGGGGGAGGCCAUGGAGGAGGAAGCGCAAGGGGGAGACCCUCUCCCCCUCUCUCUCAGUGGCGCCGGAGUGCUGAUGACCCACAAGUAUAGGGGAUCUAUCAUAGUCCUUCCGAUAAGUAAGAGUGUUGAACCCAACAAGGAGCAGAAGGAAAUGACAAGCGGUUUUCAGCAAGAUAUUCUCUGCAAGCACUGAAAUUAUCGGUAACAGAUAGUUGUGUGAUAAGAUAAUUCGUAAUGGGUAACAAGUAACAAAAGUAAACAAGGUGCAGCAAGGUGGCCCAAUCCUUUUUGUAGCAAAGGACAAGCUUGGACGAACUCUUAUAUAAUGCAAAGCGCUCCCAAGGACACAUGGGAAAUGUUGUCAAGUUAGUUCUCAUCAUGCUCAUAUGAUUCGCGUUCGUUACUUUGAUAAUUUGAUAUGUGGGUGGACCGGUGCUUGGGUGCUGCCCUUCCUUGGACAAGCAUCCCACUUAUGAUUAACCCCUCUCGCAAGCAUCCGCAACUACGAAAGAAGAAUUAAGAUAAAUCUAACCAUAGCAUGAAACAUAUGGAUCCAAAUCAACCCCUUACGAAGCAACGCAUAAACUAGGGUUUAAGCUUCUGUCACUCUAGCAACCCAUCAUCUACUUAUUACUUCCCAAUGCCUUCCCCUAGGCCCAAACAAUGGUGAAGUGUCAUGUAGUCGCCGUUCACAUAACACGACUAGAGGAAAGACAACAUACAUCUCAUCAAAAUAUCGAACGAAUACCAAAUUCACAUGAUUACUUAUAACAAGACUUCUCCCAUGUCCUCAGGAAAAAACGUAACUACUCACAAAGCAUAUUCAUGUUCAUAAUCAGAGGAGUAUUCAUUAUCAUUAAGGAUCUGAACAUAUGAUCUUCCACCGAAUAAACCAACUAGCAUCAACUACAAGGAGUAAUAAACACUACUAGCAACCCAUAGGUACCAAUCUGAGGUUUUAUGACAAAGAUCGGAUACAAGAGAUGAACUAGGGUUUGAGAGGGGAUGGUGUUGGUGAAGAUGUUGAUGGAGAUUGACGCCCUCUUAAUGAGAGGAUCGUUGAUGAUGACGAUGGCUUCGAUUUCCCCCUCCCGGAGGGAAGUUUCCCCGGUAGAACAGCUUCGCCGGAGCCCUAGAUUGGUUCUGCCCAAGUUCCGCCUCGAGACGGUGGCACUUCGUUCCGAAAGCUUUCUUCUGAUUUUUUCUAGGUCAAAACACACCAUAUAGCAGAAGAUGGGCGUCGGGGGCCUGCCAGGUAGCCCACAAGACCGGAGGGCGCCCCAGGGGGUAGGGCGCGCCCUCCACCCUUGUGGAUGCUAGGUGGCCCCCCUCUGGUGCUUUAUUUGCCCAAUAUUUUUUAUAUAUUCCAAAAAAAAUUCCGUGAAGUUUCAGGACUUUUGGAGUUGUGCAGAAUAUGUUUCUAAUAUUUGCUCCUUUUCCAGUCCAGAAUUCUAGCUGCCGGCAUUCUCCCUCUUCAUGUAAACCUUAUAAAAUAAGAGAGAAAAGGCAUAAGUAUUGUGAUAUAAUGUGUAAUAACAGCCCAUAAUGCAAUAAAUAUUGAUAUAAAAGCAUGAUGCAAAAUGGACGUAUCAAUUCCCCCAAGCUUAGACCUCGCCUUGUCCUCAAGCGAAAGCCGAUAUCGAAAAAUAUGUCUGCAUGUUUAGAGACAGAGGUGUCGACAAAAUAAAGUACGGACAUGAGGGCAUCAUGAUCAUCUUUAGAACAGCAACAUAUAUUGUCAUAUAAUUUCUUAUGCUAAAGUAACAGUUUGUUCACAAAUUAAAGUAUGAAUCGGAAACUUCAUAAAAAACUAACAAACUAUUAUCUCAGUCAUUGAAGCAAUUGCAAUUUAUCAUAACAUUGAAAGAGUCAAUUCAAGAGCUUUUCAGCAAGUCCACAUACUCAACUAUCAUUUAAUCUUUCGCAGUUGCUAACACUCACGCGAUACUUAUGGGUUCAAAGUUUCAAUAGGACACGGAGAAAGAUAGGGGCUUAUAGUUUUGCCUCCCAACCUUUUACCUCAAGGGUAAUGUCAACAAUAAUACUUUGUGAUAACCUACAUCCGAGUGGAUAUAUAUAUCCGGAUCUCUCCAACACAUAGUGCUUGCCAAAGGAAAAAGUGUAAAAGGAAAGGUGAUGAACACCAUGACUCUUGUAUAAGGGUAGGAGAUAAAAGUAAAAGAUAGGCCCUUCGCAGAGGGAAGCAGAGGUUGUCAUGCGCUUUUAUGGUAGGAUGCACAAAAUCUUAAUGCAAAAGAAUGUCACUUUAUAUUGCCGCUUAUGAUAAAGAACUUUAUUAUGCAGUCCGUCGCUUUUAUUUCUUCCAUAUCACGAGUUCGUAUGAAGCUUAUUUUCUUCACACUAAUAGAUCAUACAUAUUUAGAGAGCAAUUUUUAUUGCUUGCACCGAUGACAACUUACUUGAAGGAUCUUACUCAAUCCAUAGGUAGGUAUGGUGGACUCUCAUGGCAAAACUGGUUUAAGGGAUGUUUGGAAGCACAAGUAGUAUCUCUACUUGGUGCAAAGAAUUUGGCUAGCAUGAGAGGGAAAGGCAAGCUCGACAUGUUGGAUGAUCCAUGGCAAUAUAACUUCUAUUCGGAUAUAAGAAAACAUAACCCAUUAUGUUGUCUUCCUUGUCCAACAUCAACUUUUUAGCAUGUCAUAUUUUAAUGAGUGCUCAAAAUUACAAAAGAUGUCCAAGAUAGUAUAUUUAUAUGUGAAGCCUCCCUUUCUUUAUUACUUCCUAUUAAUUGCAACAAUGACCAAAAUUAUGUUUGUAAACUCUCAACAACUUUUAUUCAUCAUACUCUUUAUAUGUGAAGUCAUUACUCCCCAUAAGAUCAAUGUAUGAUCUUUUUAUUUCCUUUUAUUCUUUAUUUUAUUUAAUUCCCUCAACAUCAUAGCAAAAUAGCAAAUCCCUCAACUCAAAACUACUCUUUAUUAUAUAUAACUCAUGGACUCAAUUACAUAGAUAGAGAUCAAAACAAAACUCAAAGCUAGAUCAUACUAAAAACUUUAUUCUACUAGAUCAAGAUAUAACCAAAAGGAUCGAACUAAGAAAAACGAUAAAGAUAAAAGAUGUGAUGGUGAUAUGAUACCGGGGCACCUCCCCCAAGCUUGGCAGUUGCCAAGGGGAGUACCCAUACCCAUGUAUUUAUGUCUCUUUCUUCAGAUGUGGUGAUGAUGGAAUUGUUGAUGAAGUAGUGCCAAACUUCGAGCGAAGGAGAAACUCCAAUCUACGAAUGAUGCUCUGGAGGGUAAUGAUAUGCUCUUGCAACAGAAUAUUUUCACGGGUAAGAUAAUUGUUUUGCACAUGAACAAAUUCAAUGAUCUUAAAAGCUUCAAUUUCAAUAGGGGUAAGAUGAUUGUAGUAAGGUUGAAGGAUGUCUUCUUCUGCUGCCGGAACUUGAUCUUCUGUGGCCUUCUUGAUCUUAUCACCCUCGUUGAUUUCCCCAAGUUCUUCUCUCUUCAUCUCCAUCUUCAUUAUCCAAGCAUUGUCGCCCGCGUUGUUGGAGGAGGGAGGCGACAUGAUGCCUGGCCUUGAAAAACUCUGGCAGAAAACGGCUCAAAACGAAAACAGGGGAUAUUGCCGUGGUACGGUGGUCAAAACCUUCGGGAGAUUAUAUAAUGAAUUUUGACCAACCAAAAGAAGUAUUAUGCAAGAAAACAGAGUCCGAAGGGCACACGAGGUGGCCAUAAGGCAGGGGGCACGCCCGGGGGGUAGGGCAGGCCCUCCACCCUUGUGGAUACCUCGUGUCUCUUUCGGACUACUUUUAAUUUUCCUUUUUUUUAAUAUUCCAAAACGGAGAAAAAUUUCUAUUAGAAUAGUUUCGGAGUCGGUUUACUUACCGUACCACAUACCUAUUCCUUUUCGGAGUCUGAAACGUUCUGGAAAGUUCCCUUACGUACUCCUUUGGGGUUACGGUAUCAAUUAUAUUGGUCUAAACAUUUAUGGGAGUACCUGAGAUAUAAUGUUUGAUUAUUUGACCGUUUACCACCUUCGGAUUUGUGCCUUCGGCGUUAUUGAUUUUUAUGGCACCAGAACGAUAGACCUCCUCGAUAAUGUAAGGACCUUCCCAUUUAGAGAGAAGCUUUCCUGCAAAAAAACUAAAACGAGAGUUGUAUAGCAAAACAUGAUCACCUACGUUAAACUCACGCUUUUGUAUCCUCUUGUCAUGCCAUCUUUUAACUUUUUCUUUAAACAACUUGGAAUUCUCAUAGGCUUGGGUUCUCCAUUCAUCAAGCGAGCUAAUGUCAAAUAACCUCUUCUCACCGGCAAGUUUGAAGUCAUAAUUGAGCUCUUUAAUAACCCAAUAUGCCUUAUGUUCUAAUUCAAGAGGUAAGUGACAAGCCUUUCCAUAAACCAUUUUAUAUGGAGACAUACCCAUAGGGUUCUUAUAAGCAGUUUUAUAAGCCCAUAAUGCAUCAUCAAGUUUCUUAGACCAAUUCUUCCUAGAUCUAUUAACAGUCUUUUGCAAAAAUCAAUUUAAUCUCUCUAUUGCUCAAUUCUACUUGACCACUAGACUAAGGAUGAUAUAGAGAUGCAAUUCUAUGGUUAUCAUUAUACUAAGCAAGCAUUUACGGAAAGCACCAUGAAUAAAAUGUGAACCACCAUCAGUCAUUAAAUAUCUAGGGACUCCAAUCCUCGGAAAAAUAACUUCUUUAAGCAUCUUAAUAGAAGUGUUAUGAUCAGCACUACUAGUUGGAAUAGCUUCUACCCACUUAGUAACGUAAUCAACAACAACUAAAAUAUGUGUAUACCCAUUAGAGGAAGGAAAAGGUCCCAUAUAAUCAAAACCCCAAACAUCAAAUGGUCCAAUAACAAGUGAAUAAUUCAUAGGCAUUUCCUGACGUCUACUAAUAUUGCCAAUUCACUGGCAUUCAUCACAAGACAAGACAAACUUACGAGCAUCCUUGAAAAGAGUAGGCCAAUAAAAACCGGAUUGCAAUACCUUGUGUGCAGUUCUAUCUCUAGUGUGGUGUCCUACGUAAGACUCGGAGUGGCACUUGCAUAGGAUAUGUCCCUGUUCAUGCUCAGGUACACAACGUCUGAUAACGCCAUCUACUCCUUCUUUAGUAAGGUGUGGGUCAUCCCAAAAGUAAUGUCUUCAAUCAUAGAAAACCUUUUCUUUUGCUGGUAUGUGAAACUAGGUGGUAUAAAUUUAGCAACAAUGUAAUUAGCAUAAUCAGCAUACCAUGGAGUAUUACGAGAAGCAUUUAUGAUAGCUAAUUGUUCAUCAGGAAAGCUAUCAUCUAUAGGCAGUGGGUCAUCAAGAACAUUUUCUAAUCUAGACAAGUUGUCUGCAACGGGGUUCUCAGCUCCCUUUCUAUCAAUAAUAUACAAAUCAAAUUCUUGUAACAAGAGAACCCAUCUAAUAAGUCUAGGUUUAGCAUCUUUCUUUUCCAUAAGAUAUUUAAUAGCAGCAUGAUCGGUGUGAACAGUUACUUUGGAAUCAACAAUAUAAGAUCUGAACUUAUCACAAGCAAAAACAACUGCUAAAAAUUCUUUUUCAAUAGUAGCAUAAUUUCUUUGGGCACUGUCUAGAGUUUUACUAGAAUAAUGAAUAACACUUAAUUUCUUAUCAACUCUUUGCCCUAGAACAGGACCAACAGCAUAAUCACUAGCAUCGCACAUAAUUUCAAAGGGUAAAUUCCAAUCAGGUGGCUGAACAAUAGGUGCAGAAAUCAAGGCUUUCUUAAGUAUUUCAAAUGCUUCUGCACAAUCAACAUAAAAACAAAAGGAACAUCUUUUUGCAAGAGAUUAGUGAGAGGCCUAGAAAUUUUAGAGAAGUCUUUAAUAAACCUCCUAUAGAAACCAGCGUGACCAAGGAAACUUCUUAUACCUUUGAUAUCUUUAGGACACGGCAUCUUUUCAAUAGCAUCUACUUUAGCUUUAUCAACUUCAAUACCUCUUUUAGAAAUUUUAUGCCCCAAGACAAUACCUUCAAUAACCAUAAAGUGGCACUUCUCCCAAUUCAAGACAAGGUUAGUUUCUUCACAUCCCUGCAAAACUCGAUCAAGGUUGCUUAAGCAAUCAUCAAAAGAAGUUCCGUAAACGGAGAAAUCAUCCAUGAAAACCUCAACAAUCUUUUCACAAAAAUCAGAGAAUAUAGCAGUCAUACAUCUUUGAAAGGUAGCAGGUGCAUUGCAUAAACCAAAAGUCAUACGGAUAUAAGCAAAGGUACCGAAAGAGCAAGUAAAAGUCAUCUUCUCCUGAUCAUCUUUUGACACAGGUAUUUGAGAAAAGUCAGAAUAACCAUCUAGAAAGCAAAAAUGUGUAUGUUUGGAUAGUCUUUCUAGAAUUUGAUCAAUAAAAGGUAGGGGGUAAUGAUCUUUCCUAGUAGCUUUAUUCAAUUUGCAAAAAUCAAUUACCAUUAUAUAACCUGUAACAAUUCUUUGUGGAAUCAAUUCAUUCUUAUCAUUAGGAACAAUAUUAAUACCUCCCUUCUUAGGGACACAACGAACGGGACUUACCCAUCUACUAUCAACAAUAGGAUAAAUUAUGCCUGCCUCCAGAAGCUUUAGUAUUUCAUUUCUUACCACUUCUUUCAUUUCGGAAUUUAACCGUCGUUGGUGAUCAACAACUGGUUUAGCAUCAUGCUCCAAAUCAAUUUUGUGCUGACAUAGAGUGGGAGUAAUGCCCUUAACAUCAUCCAGAGUAUAUCCAAUAGCAGCACAGUGCUUCUUCAGAGUUUUCAAUAAUUUCUUUUCUUCAUGCUCUGAAAGGUUAGCACUAAUAAUAAUAGGAUAUAUCUUCUUUUCAUCAAGAUAAGCAUAUUUCAAAGUAUCGGGUAAUUGUUUAAGCUCAAACACGGGAUCACCCUUGGGUGGAGGAGGAUCUCCAAGGAUUUAAACAGGCAAAUUGUGUUUCAAGACAGGCCCUUGAUUAAAGAAUAUUUCAUCUAUUUCCCUUCUUUCAUUCAUAAACAUAUCAUUUUCAUGGUCUAGCAAAUAUUGUUCUAAAGGAUCAGUAGGAGGCACGACAAUAGAAGCAAGACCAAUAAUUUCAUCCUUACUAGGCAAUUCUUUAUCAUGGGGUUGUCUAUGAAAUUUAGAGAAAUUAAAAUCAUGAGACAUAUCCCCUAAACCAACAGUAACAAUAUCUUUCUCGCAGUCUAUCUUAGCAUUAACAGUAUUCAAGAAAGGUCUACCAAAUAUAAUGGGACAACAAUCAUCUUGCGGGGAACCAAGAACAAGAAAAUCAGUAGGGUAUUUAAUUUUCCCACACAAGACUUGAACAUCUCUAACAAUCACAAUUGGUGAUAUAGUGUCUCUAUUGGCAAGCUUAAUAGUAACAUCAAUAUCUUCUAUCUCAACAGGUGCAAUAUCAUUCAUAAUUUCUUGGUAUAAGGUAUAAGGAAUUGCACUCACACUAGCACCCACAUCAAAUAAGCCAUGAUAACAAUGAUCUCCUAUUUUAACAAAAACAACAGGCAUGCCAACAACAGGUCUAUAUUUAUCUUUAAUAUAAGGUUUAGCAAUUCUAGCAACUUCAUCACAGAAAUAAAUAACAUGCCCAUCAAUAUUAUCGACCAAGAGAUCUUUAACCAUAGCAAUACUAGGUUCAACUUUAAUUUGUUCAGGGGGUGUAGGUGUUCUAGUAUAACUCUUACGAACCACAGUUGAAGCUUUAGCAUUUUCCUUUAUUCUAACAGGAAAAGGUGGUUUCUCAAUAUAAGCAGUAGGAACAAUAGGAUCAACAUUAUAAGUAAUAGUUUCUUCUUCAACUUUACUAGGUUCUACUACUUUCACUUCAAUGGGAGGAUGAUAUUUAAACCACUUCUCCUUAGGGAGAUCAACAUGAGUAGCAAAUGAUUCACAAAAAGAAGCUAUUAUCUCAGAGUCAGGUCCAUAUUUAGUGCUGAAAUCACGAAAGGUAUCGGUAUCCAUAAAAGAUUUAACACAAUCAAACUUUAGGUUUAUACCUGACCCCUUACCUUCGUCGAGUUCCGAAUCUUCAGAGUUGCAUUUAAUUCUUUCCAAUAAAUCUCAUUUGAAUUCAAUAGUCUUCUUCAUAAAAGAACCAGUACAAGAAGUAUCGAGCAUGGAUCGAUCAUUAUGAGAAAGCCGAGCAUAAAAAUUCUGAAUAAUACUUUCUCUUGAGAGCUCAUGAUUGGGGCAUGAAUAUAACAUUGACUUAAUCCUCCCCCAAGCUUGAGCGAUACUUUCUCCUUCAUGAGGCCAAAAGUUAUAUAUAUAAUUUCGAUCACAAUGAACCAGAUGCAUAGGAUAAAACUUCUGAUGAAAUUCCAAUUUCAAUCGGCUGUAGUUCCAAGAUCUAAUAUCAUCACAUAGCCUAAACCAUGUCAAUGACUUUCCCUUCAAAGAUAAAGGGAAGACCUUCUUAUUGACAACAUCCUCGGGCAUACCUGCAAUUUUAAAUAAUCCACAAACUUCAUCCACAUACAUUAGGUGCAUAUUGGGAUGUAAUGUUCCAUCUCCUGCAUAAGGAUUAGCCAGCAGUUUGUCUAUCAUACCCGAAGGAAUUUCAUAAUAAAUAUUUUCAGUAGGUGCAGUAGGUUGAGGAGCAACUCUUUGCUCUUCUGGUCGAGGUGAAGAUACCCCAAACAAGCCCCUCAAAGGAUUAUUUUCCAUAGUAACAGGUGACUGUAAAUUUUAGCAAAUUAUAAAAAUGUUUCCUUACCAAAUUCCACUUACCAAAGGCGCUCCACUCCCGGGCAAUGGCACCAGAAAAGAUUCUUGAUGACCCACAAGUAUAGGGGAUCUAUCGUAGUCCUUUCGAUAAGUAAGAGUGUCGAACCCAACGAGGAGCAGAAGGAAAUGACAAGCGGUUUCCAGCAAUGUAUUCUCUGCAAGCACUGAAAUUAUCGGUAACAGUUAGUUGUGUGAUAAGAUAAUUCGUAACGGGUAACAAGUAAAAAAAGUAUAAAAGGUGCAGCAAGGUGGCCCAAUCCUUUUUGUAGCAAAGGACAAGCCUGGACGAACUCUUAUAUAAUGCAAAGCGCUCCCGAGGACACAUGGGAAUUGUUGUCAAGUUAGUUUCCAUCAUGCUCAUAUGAUUCGCAUUCGUUACUUUGAUAAUUUGAUAUGUGGGUGGACCGGUAGCCUCCCACUUAUGAUUAACCCCUCUCGCAAGCGUCCGCAACUGUGAAAGAAGAAUUAAGAUAAAUCUAACCAUGGCAUGAAACAUAUGGAUCCAAAUCAGCCCCUUACAAAGCAACGCAUAAACUAGGAUUUAAGCUUUUGUCACUCUAGCAACCCAUCAUCUACUUAUUAAUUCCCAAUGCCUUCCCCUAGGCCCAAACAAUGGUGAAGUGUCAUGUAGUCGACGUUCACAUAACACCACUAGAGGAAAGACAACAUACAUCUCAUCAAAAUAGCGAACGAAUACCAAAUUCACAUGAUUACUUAUAACAAGACUUCUCCCUUGUCCUCGGGAACAAAAGUAACUACUCACAAAGCAUAUUCAUGUUCAUAAUAAGAGGGGUAUUAAUUAUCAUUAAGGAUCUGAACAUAUGAUCUUCCACCGAAUAAACCAACUAGCAUCAACUACAAGGAGUAAUCAACACUACUAGCAACCCACAGGUACCAAUCUGAGGUUUUGAGACAAAGACCGGAUACAAGAGAUGAACUAGGGUUUGAGAGGAGAUGCUGCUGGUGAAGAUGUUGAUGGAGAUUGACCCCCUCUCGAUGAGAGGAUCGUUGGUGGUGACAAUGGCUUCGAUUUCUCCCUCCCGGAGGGAAGUUUCCCAGCAGAACAGCUCCACCAGAGCCCUAGAUUGGUUCUGCCCAAGUUCCGCCUCGAGACGGCGGCGCUUCAUCCCGAAAGCUUUGUUCUAAUUUUUUUCCAUGUCAAAACACACCAUAUAGUAGAAGAUGGGCGUCGGGGGCCUACCAGGUGGCCCACAAGACCGGAGGGCGCGCCCUCCACCCUUGUGGAUGGCAGGUGGCCCCCCUCUGGUGCUUUCUUCGCCCAAUAUUUUUUAUAUAUUUCAAAAAUAUUCUCCGUGAAGUUUCGGGACUUUUGGAGUUGUGCAGAAUAGGUCUCUAAUAUUUGUUCCUUUUCCAGUCCAGAAUUCCAGCUGCCGGCAUUCUCCCUCUUCAUGUAAACCUUAUAAAAUAAGAGAGAAAGGGCAUAAGUAUUAUGAUAUAAUGUGUAAUAACAGCCCAUAAUGCAAUAAAUAUUGAUAUAAAAGCAUGAUGCAAAAUGGACGUAUCAAGUGCCGCCGGGGGAACCAUCGCCGCGGUGAUCGUCUUCAUCAACAUCACCAUCUUCAUCACCUUCCUCAUAUCGUUUAAGCGGUCCACUCUCCUGCACCCCGCUGUAAUCCCCUACUUGAACAUGGUGCUUUAUGCCACAUAUUAUGAUCUACUAGCACAUAUGCCCGUGUGUUGCAACGGAGAUAUUUUUUACGAGAAGCAUCAGAGAGAUAAUUGAUGUGUCCAUCAAAACGGUCUCCAUAGUGGUGGGGCUACAGAGCGAGGAGCUGCGAUGUUCUCAAGGGUCAUGUUUGGCCCACGAGAUCUUAAUAGUAAUGGGGUUGGUCGGAGUGGUGGCCACCACCCAACUUGUGCCUUUUUUUUCUUCGUGUCCGCCACCGUGUCUAGGUUGUGGUUGCCUCCUCAUUUUGUGGUAGCACGGCGACCUUCAGGGCAUGGUUGCUUCGACCACUCCUCAUAUGAUGGCGUAACAGAUAUAGUACAAAUUGCAGCGAAUCCCAUUUCAUUGGUAUAAUCAACACAUAACCAGGUAGGCCCUACUUUACCAGGUUUUAUUCUCUGUAAUUAUUUCAGCGAUCACUUGCCCACAUAUUUUUAGUCAGAGCCAAACCAACAUCUCCUCUUUUAUUGCUAUGUGCCCACAAUUUCUUUUAAUUAUAGUCAACAAACAUAUUCUUUUUUAUUGUCAAAUAGCACGUCGGAUGCACAACAGUUCAAGUCUGGCCAGGCAAGUGGCAGGCACCAAAACGACAUGUGUUUGUAAGGCACGAACACAAAUCCAAAAUAACCACUGAGUUGAAGGAUCAAAUUCAUGACAUCAAAAACUCGACCACGUGCUGCUAGCCACUCGAACAAAUAGCUCCUGCUAACAAAUGGCCAGCGUGAAUGUUUAAUAAUAUACUGUAGCGUACCAUUCAAAACAUUUUUUCCUCAUCUUAUUGAACUCAUCAAAAAAUAAAUUAAUAAUUAUGAUAUCUCGAAUAUUCUUCGAAACAUGAAAAUUUAUUGAAAUUCACAAAAAAUUAAAAACAUGAACCUUUUAAAAGAAAACGAACAUUUUUUGAAUAUGUGAACAAUUUUUGAAAAUGAAAUAUGUUUUGAACAUUGAAACACUUUUCGAAAACAUGUUUUCUAACACAAGCAUUACUUUGAAUUUGUGAACGUUUCAAUAAAAAUGAAUAUUUUUUGAAUUUGUAUCAUUUUCGAAAUGCAAUUUAUUUUGAAAAUAUCAAACAAUUUGGGAAAACUUAAAAACAAUUAAAAUGCGAAAAAUUUCAAUAGUUUUCAAUAAAUUCCGGAAUGGGAAGAAAAAUCUAAAAUUUGGAAAAAUUUCAAAAUGGUAAAAAUAUAAUAAAUUCUGGAGAUUUUACGAAAAUUUAAUUAAAAACUAAAAUUCUAAAAAAUUGAAUUUAUAAAAAAGGAAAAAACAAAAAGAAACUUGGAAGAGAAAAAAGAAAAAGGAAAGAGAAAAUAAAAAGGGAAAAGAAGCAGAACAGAGAAAAAAAUAAAAACGGGCCGUCCCAAUACUGGGCGACAUAUGCGAAACUUCAUCUAUUUUUGGCCCAGUGCGGUAAAUAAUGGUUCUCAGCUGCAUGGACAGGAAAUAAAUGGGCUCGGCCUCAGCGCGCGCGGCCACGUACGAAAUUUUGGAUAAAACUGUUUCUUUUAUGGCAGAUGGACACAUAAAAAAUUAGUACCACCUUGGAUAGAACAAAAAAUCGGUGGUGAACGGAUGAAAAAAUCGAAGAAACGCACCUUGCUUUAUUAGUAGGUAUAGAAAUGAUGUGUUGCCAUCCUAUGAUGUUCUGAGUAGAUUUUUUUUGUCUUUGGGUUGAUUGAUGAUCUAGAUUGGUUUGAGUUAAAUGUUUUAUUUUGGUGCUGUCCUAUGGUGCCUUCCGUGCCGCGCACACGUGAAGGAUUCCCGUUAUAGGGUGCUGCAAUACGUUCAUGAUUCGUUUAUAGUGGGUUGCUAGAGUGUCAGAAGCUUAAACCCGAGUAAGGGGGUUGUUGCGUAUGGGAUAAAUGGGACUUGAUACAUUAAUGCUAUGGUUGAGUUUUACCUUAAUGAUCUUUAGUAGUUGCGGAUGCUGGCUAGAGUUCCAACCAUAAGUGCAUAUGAUCCAAGUAGAGAAAGUAUGUUAGCUUACGACUCUCCCUCAUAUAAAAUUGCAAUAAUGAUUACUAAUCCUGUUAACAAUUGCCUAGGAUAAUUCCGCAUACCGAUCCAUCAUUAUUCCACACUCGCUAUUUAUAAUAUAUAGUAAUAUAUUCUAACCUUAUGUUAACAUCACCUAUUUUUAUAUUUUAGUUCUCUGAUAUUAUGCAAAGCUAUCCUCUUCAUACCCACAACAUAGUUUUAUUUCUCGUUUCUAGAUGGAAGCAAACGUUCGAUGUACGUAGAGCCAUAUCAGUGGCAGAUAGGACUUGAGAUAAUAUUGAUCUUACCUCUUCAUACCCACGAGUUCUUGUUUAGUUUUGUGUGUAUGAAGUUUUUAAGAUUUAGGGAAACUGUGAUAUAAAAGGAAUUAAGGAGACGCAAAAGCUCAAGCUUGGGGAUGCCCAAGGCACCCCAAGAUAAUAUUUCAAGAAGUCUCAAGCAUCUAAGCUUGGGGAUGCCCCAGUAGGCAUCCCACCUUUCUUCAUCAACAAUUAUCAGUUAGUAUCGGUUGAGCCUAAGUUUUUGCUUCUUCACAUGAGUUGUGCUAUUCUUGGAAUGUAAUUUUGUUUUGUUUUACUUUCUGUUUUAAUAAAAUACUUAGAUUUGAAAGUUUUUAAAUAAGAGAGAGUCCUCAGUUAGCUACCCCUUUACUUAACUACUCGCUUGAUCUUCACUUAUAUCUUUUUGGAGUAGUUUGUCAUUUACUCUUGUGCUUCACUUAUAUCCUAUGAGUAAAUUGUUGAAUGAAUUGAAUAUCAUGAAGUUGAAAUUAUAUGUUCAUAUCAUGCGUAGUAGUAGCUCCACAUUGGGUUUAGAAGUGAAAUAUUUUGAAGCUUGACAAUCACAAUAUUGGUCAUACAAGCGAUUCAUGAAUGAUUAGUAUAAGGAAGAGAAAUUUCACAUACAAAUAUAUUAUCUUGGACAUCUUCUAUGAUUGUGAAUACCCAUUAAUUAUUUUCAAACUUGAGCAAACUAGUUGAAGUUGGACAAGGAAGACAACGUAAUGAGUUAUCAUUGUGUAUAUUUGCAUAGAAGUUAUAUUGUCAUGGAUCCUCCAACAUGUAGUGUUUGCCUAGGAUCUUUUGCUAGCCAAAAAUUCGUACUAAGUAGAGAUACUACUUGUGCAUCCAAAAACCCUUAAACCCAGUUUCUUUCCAUGAGUGUCCACCAUACCUACCUAUGGAUUGAAUAAGAUCCUUCAAGUAAGUUGUCAUCGGUGCAUAAAGCAAUAAAAAUUGCUCCUAAUUAUGUUUGAUCUUUUAUUGUAAGGGAAAAUUCAGUGUUGUAUGAACUUGUGAUGGCAGAGUAAAUAAAAGUGACGGACUGCAUAAUAAAGGUUGCUAUCAUAAGGGGCAAUAUAACGUGGCGUUCCUUUGCAUUAAGAGCUUGGGCAUCCAAAUAAAAACACAUGGCAACCUCUGCUUCCCUCUGCAAAGGGCCUAUCUUUUACUUUUCAGUAUUUACUUUUAUGCAAAGAGUUAAUAGUAUGCAUUCUCAUUUCAACCUCAAUUAUUCUCUAGUUGGCAAGCAUCAUGUGGUGGGGAAAGAUCUAGGCACAUAUGACCAGUCAAAUAUAUUUUAUCAUGAAUUAUUAUUGUUGACAAUUAUCUCUAUGAUAAAUGAGUUGGGAAGCGAAACAUUAAGCCCCUAUCUUUCUCUGUGUUCGAUGGAUGCCAUUUGUUCUAAGAAUAUGCUUUGAGUACUAGCAAUCAUGGAAGACUAUAUGAUGAUAGAGUAGGUGGAGCUCUUACUUAGACUCUAUUGGAUAAGUUGAAUUGCAAUUGUUUGGUGACUAAGAAUAUAGGUUGUUGAGUUUCAAGAGAAUUCAUUGUUUGAACCUUAACAUGUGAAUUGGUUGCUACUUUAACAUGAUGAGUUUUAUGAGAAAGAGUUGAUGUUAUGAUGCUAGGAAAUCGAUUGAAAUUAUCAUUGAUCAAACUUAUGCAUUUUGCUAGCAUUCACACUUCAUAGAUUAUUUCUUUUAUCAUUUACCUACUCGAGGACGAGUAGGAAUUAAGCUUGGGGAUGCUGAUACGUCUCCAACGUAUCUAUAAUUUAUGAAGUAUUCAUGUUGUUAUAUUAUCAUUCUUGGAUGUUUUACAAUCAUUUUAUAGCAACUUUAUAUCAUUUUUUGGGACUAACCUAUUGACAUAGUGCCCAGUGCCAGUUGUUUUUUGCUUGUUUUUUACAUCGCAGAAAAUCAAUACCAAACGGAGUCCAAAUGCAGCGAAACUUUUUGGAGAUUUUUUUGACCAGAAUACAUCCAGUGGGCCAAAGAAGUGCCAGAGGAGAGCCCCGAGGGGGGCACAACCCACCAGGGCGUGCCUGGAGGCCGAGGCGCGUCCAGGUGGGUUGUGCCCACCUCGGUGGCUUCCCGCACUGCCUCUUCACCCUAUAAAUUCCCAAAUAUUCCAAAAACCCUCGGGGUAACCCUAGAUCAAAAGUUUCGCCGACACGAGCCUUUGUAGCCAUGAAAAACCAAUCUAGACCCCAUUCUGGAACUACGCCGGAGGGGGAAAUCAUCACCGGUGGCCAUCUUCAUCAUCCCGGCGGCCACCAUGAUGAGGAGGGAGUAUUCCACCCUAGGGGCUGAGGGUUUGUACCAGUAGCUAUGUGUUUAAUAUAUCUCUCUCUCUCUCUCGUGUUCUUGAGAUGGCACGAUCUUGAUGUAUCAUGGGCUUUGUUAAUAUAGUUGGAUCAUAUGGUGUUUCUCCCUCUCUAUCUUGUUGUGAUGAAUUGAGUUUUCCCUUUGAGAUUUCGGUUUAUCGGAUUGAAUACUUUUAUGGAUUUAAGAGCACUUGAUAUAUGUCUUGCAUAUGAAUACCCGUGGUGACAAUGGGGUAUUGUAUUGAUUCACUUGAGAUAUGUUUUGGGACUCAACUUGCGGAUUCCCGAGGUGACAGUGGGUAAUCUACACAUAGGAGUUGAUGAACGUUCUUGUCUUUGUUUCUCCGGUAGAAAUCUUGGGGCACUCUUUGAGGUUCUUCGUGUUGGAUUGAGUAUUAUGAAUCUGAAAUUAUUUGGUGUUAUUUUAGUAUGAACUCUUGGAUAGAUCGAUCGGAAAGAAUAGCUUUGAGGUGGUUUCGUACCCUAUAAACAAUUUCUUCUUAUGUUCUCCACUAGAUAGGAACUUUGGAGUGAUUCUUCAUCGCACUUUGAGGGAUGGUUAUAUGAUCCAAUUAGAUUAGCAUUGUUGAGAGAUUGCACUAGCGAAGUACGAACCCUAGGCCUCAUUUUCAAGCAUUGCAAUAUUGUUUUUGCUCUGUUUUAUCAAUUGCUACCUUGCUGUUUUUUAUUGUUCCUAUUACAAAACUUGAUAUCUACCAUCAUUACUACACUUGUAUCACCAUCUCUUCGCCGAACUAGUGCACCUAUACAAAUUACCAUUGUAUUUGGUGUGUUGGGGACACAAGAGACUCUUUGUUAUUUGGUUGCAGGGUUGCUUGAGAGAGACCAUCUUCAUCCUACACCUCCCAUGGAUUGAUAAACCUUAGGUCAUCCACUUGAGGGAAAAUUGCUACUGUCCUACAAAACUCUGUGCUUGGAGGCCCAACAUGAGUCUACAAGAAUAAAGUUGCAUAGUAGACAUCAGUAGUCAAUCAAGUGAUGAACGAAUGGGAUGUCAGAAACCCCGCUAUGACUGGAUACCGCAACGCGGUGAGAAAGUUAGAGAAUAAAUUCGAGGGUCUGGAGCUUCAUCAUAUUCCCCGAAUCAAGAAUCAAGCGGCCGAUGAUCUGGCAAAGAUCGGAUCCACUGGGAAGCCCGUUCCCAGCAACAUGUUCCUCGAACACCUCCAUUCCCCCGUCAGUGCAGGAAGACCCUUUCACUGAAAGAGCCCCUACAGGUGAUAAGUUCCUCCAACCCGACUGAAAUCGAUGUUCCCGCAGUCAUUGACUUGGUUAUGGAGAUUCUGGUAAUUACACCCGACUGGAUAGUGUCGUACAUUGCAUAUUUACUCAGGCAAGAACUCCCAGAGGAUGAAGUCGAGGCACGUCAGAUUGUCUGUAGGUCCAAAGCUUUCACUAUGAUGAAUGGACAAUUAUACAGAGAGAAAGUAUCACGAGCGUAGCUCAACGAUGUAUUUCUCCAGAGCAAGGUCGAUUGAUCCUAGAAGAAAUCCACUCAGGAACCUGUGGUCAUCAUGCGUCUUCUCGGACAAUCAUAGCCAAGGCGUACCGAGCCGUUUUUUACUGGCCCCGUGCCAAUGAAGCCGCCAAAGAGAUCGUUCAGCAUUGCCACGGAUGCCAGUUUUAUGCAAACUUGUCCCAUAAAACUGCGUCCGCCUUGAGUACCCAGACGUGCCUGCUAGUGGCCCACGGCGUGGCUCCGUCGAUGGCCUGGUAUGGCCCAUCUUCAGCAUCGAGAAGACAAGACCCUUGCGAGGGGCCAAGCCUCGCGAGGCGGGCGACGCCUCCGGAGGGGGCAGCCUCCCUAGGCUGACUCCUGAGGAGCGGAGAUUCCUAUGUAGGCGCUCACCUCAUGAGGUUGAGGUGACGUAAGCCAUGACGAUCGAGGCCAGGCCGGCGUCAGCGGGCGCAGAGCGGCAGGUUUCCUCUUCGGUGCUAAGGAGGCAAGCGCGGGCGCGGAGUCCCGAGGUAUCAGCCAAAGGUUUCCAUUCCCGUGCUACAAGACCAAGACCGCCAGGAUGGAGGGUCAGAGGUCAUCGCCGAGCCCACCACGGCGUCACGACCAGAAGCUUUGCAGGCGAACACCACCUUUCGUUACGUAGGAUGUAAUAGUUGUCUCCCUUCAAACUGGUCGUUGUGGAAUCCCUUCCCACCUACAUUUUGGGGGAAGAGGACCGAGGCCUCUCUCUCUCUCUCUCUAUAUAUAUAUAUAUAUAUAUAUUAUAUAUAUAUUAUAUAUAUAUAUUAUAUUAUAUUAUAUAUAUAUGUUAGCCACCACCAUGGAGGGGGCGGAUCCAUUCAAACCCUCACUAGCUCACACCAACACAAGAACUGACCUCCUGAGGUUGUUCUUCCUCUGUACUAGUUCAUCCUCAGCCCCUCACGAGGCUAAUCCACCCCAAAGCAGGAGUAGGGUUUUACACCGCAAGGUGGCCCGAACCUGGGUAAACUGUCGUGUCCCUUUACUUUCCCGUUCAUCGAGCUGGGCCAUGAGAUCGACGAGCUAGCAGACUGGGGAGAUCGAGUUCUUCGCACGCACCCCAGAGUUCAAACCUUUCUCGGGUUUGCGGGGCCCUGAAUCCGACGCAUUAUCCUUAUCUUCCAGAGCCUGCUUCAUGGUGUCUAAAGAAACAACAUUCCUGAGUCGCACUUGAAGCUGACGGUUCUCAUUACGCACAUAUGUUUGAGUGAAACUACUCGGCUCAAAGGAUGGAAAGCAAGGAUGACGGUAUACACGGUCGACAAGAAUUACCUCCCAUGGUCUUCAUCUCCGUUUGGGAGCGAGCCAAGUUCCUUUUCUCCAGUUCCAGAUCCAGUUGGAGCUGGAUCUUCUCCUUCUCCAAGGCGACAUAUUGGGUCCCAAACUCAUAGGUUUUCUGAAAUCAACAAAGAAACAAUUCAAUCGGCGACGAGAAAAGAUUCUCAAACCGAGUGGAGAAGAGCCAAUGCAGUUGAUACAAAUAAAAAUUUCUUAGACCCCCAUCGAAUCAAACAUUCGACGGCGGUCUCAGGGACUACACCCGGUGGGUGCACUCAGCGUGUCCCCACUGGAUCAAUUCCCAUUCUGCGCUGCUUGCCCGAUCCGACUGAAAACCUACAAUCAAAAAUUUCUCAGACCCCCGCCGUAUCAAACAUUCGACGGCGGUCUCGGGGACUACACCCAAUGGGUGCUGUCGGCGUUCUGGGAACGGGGUUACCCAGAUUUGCCUGCCUGCGGCCCAUGGGGUGGCUCCAUACACGGCCUGGUACAGCCCAGCUUCAGCAUCAACAACUCAAGACCCUCGCGAGGGGCCAAGCCUCGUGAGGCGGACUGACACCAAGACCUCCGGAAGGAGCGGCCUCCUCAGGCUGGCUCCUGAGGAGCGGAGAUCUCUAUGCAAGCCCUCACCUUGUGAGGUUCGGAUGACGUGAGCCAUGACGACCAAGGCCACGCGGGCGCCAGCGGGCGUAGUGCAGCACUUUCCUCUUUGGUGCUAAAGAGGCAAGCACAGGCGCGGAGUCCUGAGGAAUCAGCCAAAGGUUUCCAUUCCCAUGCAACGAGACCAAGACCGCCAGGACGGAGGUCAUCGCCGAGCCCACCGCGGCGUCAUGACCAGAGGCUUUGCAGGCGAAGACUGCUUUUGUCAGGAUAGGAUGUACUAGUUGUCCCCCUUCGAAUUUGGUCGUUGUGGAUCCCUUCCCGCCUUCAUUUGGGAAGAGGACCAAGGCCACUAUAAAUAGGACUUAGCCACCACCAUGGAGCGGGGAUCGGUUCCAUCCACACACCCAGCAGCUCACUCGAGCACAAGAACACCUCUCCUCCUGAGGUUGUUCGCCCACUGUAGUAGUUCAUCCUCAGCCCCUCGAGGCCAAUCCAUCACAAAGCAGGAGUAGGGUUUUACACCGCACGGUGGCCCGAACCUGGGUAAACUGCUGUGUCCCGUUUCCUUACAGUUCGUCGAGCUAGGCUGUGAGAUUGGCGAGUAGGCAGACUAGGGAGGUUGAGUUCUUCGCACGCACCCCAGAGUUCGAACCUCUCAAGGUUCUGCGGAGCCCAAAAUCUGACAUUUGGCGUGCGAGGUAGGGGUGCGUCGGAGCCUCUCUUCUUCCAAUCAAUCCGCCACUACCCCGCAAUUCUCAUGGCUGAUGCUCUGAGGGCUCACGUUGAGCACUGGGUUAUUCGGCCUACCGGAGCAGUGUCGUCCGCCCAAGAGGAUCUCCACUCCGCGCUCCUCGCGGCCCGCACGUCGCCUGCCCUCGCGCCAUGCCGUAACCGUGCCACCACACAAUCUUCGAGCUAUGCCGCGGCGACAGCGCCGCACACUCGCCGGGAGCAGACGAACAUGGGAGCCGCACUCAUCGUGGUGCGGGAGCUGCUGUGAUGUUGGUUGGCAGAAGGCGGCCAUGAUGCCCUGCUGGAGCGGGUCGCCGAGCUGCUUGAUGCUGCCUGCAGGGGUGCAGCACCCUUCUGCACCCUGCCUACGUCGCAAGCUGUGGCAGGGGUGCGUGCCGACCUCCGCCACGCCCGUGCGCCCCUCCCUGAGCACCUGGGGGACCCAACGGCGCCAACCCGGCCGGCGGCACUACUCGUCCGACCCCAACUAUGCUACCUCCGGGCGAGGCAAGCUCGGGUGGCCCCUCUUGGGGCUGCGCCGGGACGCCACCCUACGGCCAUCAGAACUUGGCGCCGAGCCUGGUGGCCAACGACGUGGGACGCCCAAGCGAUGACCUUGCCGCGGCAAUUUCAGAUGCCUACGUACCUCCCAUGAUGGAUCUGCUGCACACAUCAAGCAAAGGCCCCUGCCCGUUCCCCUCACCAGGCUGGGCAUGAGGGGCACAUGAAGCCGAGGCUCCUCGCGAGCCGCUCCAGAGCUUCACCAACGCCUUCAAUGACAACAGUCACUGGGUAGAGUCGAUAUCUCAGCAGCACGAUUAUGCUAACCAUGGACCAUAGGUGAACCAAGCCACAGCAGCAACCAGGGACCCCAGGGUGAUGGCCCCGCCACAGGCGGGCAGAGUGCACUGGGGGCUGCGCGGGGGGAGCCCGGUGCCAGGGCCCCCUCCUCGCCGCAUGGAGCAAGACGCCGCAUGAAGGUAGGUCCCCUGCCGGGGAAGGCGCCGGCGAGCCCUUCUCCCCGGCAGAGGGCCUACGGUCGCCGGGGGCACCGCCAGCGUCUCCCUUGCCCCUUGGUCUCGUCCUGGUUUCCGGACGCCCCAACGGUGGUCGGGGGAGGCGCAGGGCGGGGCCCUCGUCAGGCGACACAGACGUACUUGAAGAUCUCCGCUCAUGACACUCUCACGUAAUAAUGAGUGGGGCUGUACAUGCCCCGGAGUCUCCUGAGUGUCACCCUCGGGCCUCACGGGGGCUCCAACCCACAUCCAAGUGGAAGCACCAUGCUCCGCGCUGGCUGUCGACACUGUCCCCCAAUGACUAUGCCCACGCCUAGUGGAAGCACUUAGCUCCGCGCUGGUGAGAAGACCAGAAGAUUAGCUAGGUGCCGGACGCGGCUAUUUGCUCCUGUCCUCUUUCUGUAACCCAAUUUGCCGUCUUUUGGAAUGAGAUUUGGAGUUUCGUGUGCUUAUCAAAAGAAAAGCGGGGGGGGGGGUUUCUUGGCUCGUAGAGAUUUCUUGCUUUCUGGCUUUGUGUUUAAAGAGUAAGGCUCACGCCUGCUACCCCCCUGGGAGCGCCCCACGAGCGGGGGCUGGGCCUGGUAUGCGCGCGUCAAGCAUGCUCGGGCUAACCCUGGCGACGCCAAGCCCCCCCCCCCGGCGGGGGGCAGGAAUGCAACCGCCGUAGAAUCUCCACGCGCACACCUUGCCGUAGUCCGGCAAUCAGCUCCUCGCAAGGCCCUCUUGGGCAGGCCAGCAGGCUCCCCGGGAGGCUUAAAACCUCGCGAGCCCUCUGAGGGCUCGCCUCAGGAGAAGGGCGCUUUCGCGACAUCAGGUCUCGCUCAAGACCUACGGAACCAAAGAUAAGUCGCGACAACUACCCUGCUCGGGAGCCUCCAGGCUCAAGACGGCGUGUCCCGAAUCCUAUUCAAAAGCUUAUCGUUGUUUCAUACAUUACAAGGGGCACCCCCUUCCAAAAUGCUCUCACGCCCCACAGGGCUGUAUUCGAAGAUUUUUUGCAUACAGGUCAGAGCAGGAAGGGGAAUGCAAGUCUAGCCGGAUGCGCUGCCGCUGGCGUUGUCCUCGUCGUCAUCAUCCGCACCACCAGCGCUGCUAGUGGCAUCGUCCUCGUCAUCGUCACCCGCAUCACCUCCCUCGGCCACAAUCACGGUCGCGCCAUCUUCAGGAGCAAACUCCGCUACCAGGUUAUCCACAUGGUCGUCCACCUAGCCCGCCAGAUUGCCCUAGAUGACCUCGGGCACGGGGGCUAUUACAGCAUCAAAGUCGAAGUGGGGGUCAAGGUUGAGGAGGUGACUGAAGACACAUGAGAACGCAUGCCAAAGAAGGCUCGGCUUCUCUCUGCAACGAGCUCGCGAGCCCGCGCAUCCCAGUCCUCGAGAUGGGUCACGAUCUCGGUGAAGAAGCGGAGGUGACUAGCGUCGUCAUCCUCAUGCGGGUGAGGGACACUCUCCUCGCAGAUGGUGUCUAGGGCUCGGUUGGCCCUGACCCUGAGAUCCUUGAGCAUCGAGGAACGCUCGCGCUCCAUUGUCUGACGGAGGCACACCUCGUUCUUGGUCUUCUCCGCGAGGGACGCAACGGACUCAGCCUGCUGCUGAAGUGAGGACAGGUCGGCGCGGGCAGAGGCUAAGUCGGCUUGGGCGGAGGCCUGAGCCUCCUUGGCGGCCCGCUCGCGCUGCUCUGCCGCGUACAGUUUCAUCUUCACGGUGGAGGUUCUACCCUCAAGCUCGGCCUGCUGCAGCUCGAAUUUCUGGCAGUGCUCGUCAACAAGGGCCACCCGAACCUUCGCCACCCUUUGAUCAACCUCCUGUUGGAUCCUCGCCUCCCAAGCAACAGUGGCAUACCUCAGCCGCGGCUGCUUGGUGCUCCCUCACCUCCAGUCGCUCGAGCUCCAGGAUGUGCUCCAAGAUCUCAAGCACCAGCGCCUCCUCGCGUUCCUAGACCUCCUUCUCAUCAGAGCGGGCCAUGCCCGAUGAUGCCGCCAGGGCGGCCCUGCGCGCCUGGAUCUGCCGCUCAAGGACGGCAUUUGAAGAUCGAAGCUCCCGCUCUCGUUCCUCGGCUGCCUCAUGACGGCAGUCGGCGGCCUAGGCUUCCUCCAAAGCAUGAGCGCAGGCCUCACGAGAAGCUGCGAGGGACACCGUGGUGCUCGCGCUCUCACGCUCAUGUUGAAGAUGCCCAAGGUUGACGGCGACCUUCAACUGGUGCCACUUGCGCGCCAAGUGGAGGCGCUCUGUCUCGAGGCGGGCGUCGACAUCGGCAAGCUCUCCUCCAAGCCGGCUCAGCGCACCCAUCGCCUCCUGGAAAAGCUCAUGGCAGACGGAGCUGCGCCCGUGCGUGAGCUCCAGCGCGCGGCCAGGCCCAUCCUUCGCGCCAAGGGCCAUCGGAGAGGCGCGUUAAUCCCCAAGUGCAGGGAAUCAUCAUAGCAAUUCCCAAAGGUGGAAGUGAUAAGUAUGGAGUGUCGAACCCACAAGGAGCUAAAGGUAAGAUCAAUAUUCUCUCAAGUCUUAUCUGCCACUGAUACGACUCUACGUACACCGAACGUUUGCUUCAAACUAGAAACGAGAAAUAAAACUACGUUGUGGGUAUGAAGAGGAUAACUUUGCAUGGUAUUGGAGAUCUAAAAUAUAAAAGUAGGUGCUGUUAUCAUAAAGUUAGAAUAUAUUACUAAAUAUUAUAAAUAGCGAGUGUGGAAUAAUGAUGGAUCGGUGUGCGGAAUUGUCCUAGGUAAUUGUUAACAAGACCGGUAGUCGUCAUUGCAAUUUGAUAUGAGGGAGAGGCAUAAGCUAAGAUACUUUCUCUUCAUGGAUCAUAUGCACUUAUGAUUGGAACUUUAGCAAGCAUCCGCAACUACUAAAGAUCAUUAAGGUAAAACCCAACCAUAGCAUUAAAGCAUCAAGUCCCCUUUAUCCCAUACGCCACAACCCCCUUACUCGGGUUUAUGCUUCUGUCACUCAAGCAACCCACUAUAAGCGAAUCAUGAACGUAUUGCAACACCCUACAGCGGGAAUCCCUCACGCUUGCGCGACACGGAGGGCACAAUAGGACAGCACCAAAAUGAAACAUACAACUCAUACCAAUCUAUAUCAUCAUUCAACCCAAGGACAAAGGAUAUCUACUCAAAACAUCAUAGGAUGGCAACACAUCAUUGGAUCAUAAUAUGUGGCAUAAAGCACCAUGUUCAAGUAGGGAUUACAGCGGGGUGCGGGAGAGUGGACCGCGUAAAAAUAGAUGAGGAUGGUGAUGAUGAUGGUGAUGUUGAUGAAGACGAUCACCGCGGCGAUGAUUCCCCUCCCGAUGGCACUCCGGCGCCACCGAGAGAGAGGAGGAGAGGAUCUCCCCCUUGUGCUUCCUCCUCCAUGGCCUCCUGUAACGCCCACGAUGCGGCUAUAUCUCUGACGUGUCGAGGCACGACUUAGAGGCAUAACCGCAUUGUAGGUUUUGUCGCAAGAAGGGUCAUCUUCACACAAUCCCAUGUAAUGAACAAGAAUGGGAUAAAGAGAGUUGGCUUACAAUCGCCACUUCACACAAUUCAUAAAUAAAUUCAUACAUCAUUCAAGAUACACACAUAGACCGACUACGGUCAAAUCCAAAUGAAAAGAAGAUAACCCCAAUUGCUAGAUCCCCGAUCGUCCCAACUGGGCUCCACUACUGAUCAACAGGAAACGAAACAACACAACGAACAAGAUCUUCAUCGAGCUCCCACUUGAGCUCGGUUGCGUCAUCUGCACUGGUAUCAUCGGCACCUGCAACUGUUUUGGUAGAAUCUGUGAGUCACGAGGACUCAGCAAUCUCACACCCACGAGAUCAAGACUAUUUAAGCUUAUAGGUAGGAUGGGGUAAUGAGGUGGAGCUGCAGCAAGCACUAAGCAAAUAUGGUGGCUAACAUACGCAAAUAAGAGCGAGAAGAGAAGCAACGGAACGGUCGAGAAGCUAGAAAUGAUCAAGAGGUGAUCCUAAUCUCCUACUCACGUCAAACAUAACCCAAACACCGUGUUCACUUCCCGGACUCCGCCGAAAAGAGACCAUCACGGCUACACACGCGGUUGAUGCAUUUUAAUUAAGUCAAGUGUCAAGUUCUCUACAACCGAACAUUAACAAAUUCCCAUCUGCCACAUAACCGCGGGCACGGCUCUCGACAGUUCAAAACCUGCAGGGGUGUCCCAACUUAGCCCAUGAUAAGCUCUCACGAUCAACGAAGGAUAUUCCUUCUCCCGGGAAGACCCGAUCAGUCUCGGAAUCCCGGUUUACAAGACAUUUCGACAAUGGUAAAACAAGUCCAGCAAAGCUGCCCGAUGUGCCGACAAUCCCGAUAGGAGCUGCACAUAUCUCGUUCUCAGGGCAACACCGGAUGAGCACUACAUACAACUAAAACCAGACCUCAAGUUUCCCCGAGGGGGCGCUGCAAGUGGCUCUAGUUCGGACCAACACUUAGAGAAGCAUUGGCCCGGGGGGGCUAAAUAAAGAUGACCCUCAGGUGGGCCGACCCAAGGGAAGGGGUAAUAGGUUCUUAGGCAAAUGUAAAACCAAGGUUGGGCCUUGCUGGAGGAGUUUUAUUCAAAGCGAACUGUCAAGGGGUUCCCAUAACACCCAACCGCGUUAGGGACGCAAAAUCCGGGAACAUAAUACCGAUAUGAUGGAAACUAGGGCGGCAAGAGUGGAACAAAACACCAGGCAUAAGGCCGAGCCUUCCACCCUUUACCAAGUAUAUAGAUGCAUUAAUUAAAAUAAGAGAUAUUGUGAUAUCCCAACAUAUCCAUGUUCCAACAUGGAACAAUCUUCAUCUUCACCUGCAACUAGCAACGCUAUAAGAGGGGCUGAGCAAAAGCGGUAACAUAGCCAAACAACGGUUUGCUAGGAAAGGUGGGUUAGAGGCUUCACAUGGCAAUAUGGGAGGUAUGAUAUAGCAAGUGGUCGGUAGCGCGGCAUAGCAAUAGAGCGAACAACUAGCAAGCAAAGAUAGAAGUGAUUUCGAGGGUAUGGUCAUCUUGCCUGAGAUCCCGCAAGGAAGAAGAACGAGUCCAUGAAGAAGACAAACGGACGUAGUCGAAUGAAUCCUCACAACUCCGAAACGGAACCGAAGCUAACCAGAGAAGCAAACCGGAAAGAAGCAAACAACAUGGUAAACAACCAUCACAUCAACAUGGCACGGUGCACAAUCAAGUAUGAUGCAUGUCCGGUUUAAAGAGGCAUGGCAUGGCAAAGUGCAACAAACAACACUACAAAUUAAGUGGAGCUCAAUAUGCAACGACUUGCAUAUUGACGAAACACCACAUCAAUUAUUUAGUUCUCUCUCGGUUAUGUACCCAACAAUAUUAAAUGUUAUUAAACAUGGCAAGGGGUGAAGCAUAAUUAAACAACCUAUCUAGGCAAGUUUAAAUGAGGCCGGAAAUAACAAACAACAAUUCCGGAAAAUCCCCAUAUGCAUAAAUAGCAAUUUAAAGGAAACAACAAUAAUAAACAUUUUUAAAUGUUGUUAUCAUGAUGCGGAUGACAAUGCAAGUUUUUAUGCAAUUUAAUGAAAAUAUUGACAUGAGCAUGUUAUGAAGCAUUUGUCACCGUGGUGGAAGAAAGGGGUGCCACGGCAACGAAUCCGAAAAUGAUGCCACGGCAACAUAUCGGUUCCGGUAGCUCGUGGAGAUACCGGCGCAAAAGAGAAUUGUGCGGAUGUGUGGAACACGCAAGAGAUGGUGGGGUGCUCCCGGCAACCGGGUUCCCAUGGGUCGAUGCCAUGGCAACGGGAACAUGCAAGAAACACGUCAGGCACGUUGCAAACGCGAGCAUUUCAUGCAACAUAUGCAUUCGUCCACGGGCGGUCAUUCUCGACGGUAUACCUUCGUAGCGUGCAUUUUCAGAGCGGUUCAAAAUCGUCGAGGGAAGUAGUCGUUCAUGGGUCGUCGUGGGAAGUAGUGGUUCACGUCUCGAAGAGGAACUUAACGGAUCCGAGGUCUCCGAUGUAGUGGUACACAUUUCGUAGACGAACUUGGCGUUCCGAAGAGGGUACUUGCCGGAUCCACAACACUGUGACCGUUCGUGGCAGGGGAACUUGAUGUUCACGGGUCUCCCAAAGACGUCGUGGUACUUGGCGUCCUUGGCGAUUCCGGAGACGGCAGUAGAGGUAUUCGACGUGUCACCAUGUAGUCGUACACUUGUCGGAGAGGAUCUUGGCGCAUCCAAAGCGAAGCAACACAAAAGGGCCUCGGGUCUUGGUGGUCAACGAAGGGAGGCGGGCGGCGAAGCAGCAGCAACGUGCCGGCACUGUACAGCCACGACGGACACCAUGGCCGUGAGGUGGAGGGGCCCUGGCACGAGACCAGCAGCGGGCACGCGCGUGCAGGAAGGCGGUGAGGUCGACAGCUUGCCCAAGUCGCGGCGGAGCGACGGGAACAGCGGUGGGCGAGGAAGCAGAGGGGAGGCGUCGCGUGGAGGAGAGUCGACGGGGCGGUGCUCGCCGGAGUCGGGGACGAAGGGGACGAACCGAGGGGCUCCUCCCCUGGCGACGGAGCUGACGAGGUGGUGGCGCCAGGUAGACGAGGAGGCGGGCGAGGAGGUCCUGGCACGGUGGCGAGCUUGAGGUGGCUGGCGACGGAGAGGUGCAGGCGCGAGCAGGAGGUUGGGCGCGCGGCGCUCGCGCGCAGAAGCGACGGGGCCGCCGGAGUUUGUCGCACCGCAGCUCAGGGCGGAGCAACACAUGCAGAAGGGAGCAGGGCGCGGCGAGCCAUGGAGGCCGGCGGUGCCAUGGCCGUGCGGGCAGACGAGCUCGCGGGGCCGUGGGGUGGUUGGCUUGAGGGGUCUCGCUCCUCUCUCUUUCUCUACGGGUGGCGGCACAAGCGAGGGAGAGGGAGAGAUCGAGAGGAGGGAGUGGCGGCGCAAGGGAUUGAGGAGGAGGGAUCGAGGGAGAGUUGCUGAGGGGAUCGGGCAUGGGGUUCGGCUAGGGUUUAGGAGGGUUAGGUGGGCCUAGAUGGCCUGCUGGGUUGCUGGGCUCUCGUCUCCCUCUCUCUUAUUUUCCAAAACAGAAAAUAACAAAGAAGAAAAGAAGAAGAAAGGAGGUGUUGGGGAAGAAGUUGGACACGCGGAUAAUUUUCCCGGACUCACAAAAAUGUGUUUGUUCCGAGAAAAUAGAAAAGGCCAUGAUUGAAAGAUUUAAAUUCAAACUCAUUUGAUUUAAAUUCAAAUGAUUUGAACAGGAAGUGAGGGUAGGGAAGGUCCAAAAAUGUUAGGAUUUUUGGUGGAGCUCUGGAAUAUGAUGAAAGAAUAAAUGGCAAGGUUGGAGACCAAGAAUUAAGAUAACAAAGGCAUUGGGAUAAUUUGCAAGUGUGUUAUGGUUAAUUCCAAAAGAAUGGAAUAUUUAUUAUAGCUCCCUAAUAUUGGGAGGAUAUGUUAUAAGAGAAGUCACCAUAUGAACUCCCUCGAUUUAAAUAGAUCAAAAAUCUAUGCAGUUUAUUUAGUUGAGUUUUAAAAAUUAAAUGACAUGAUGGCAUGAUGACAUGAUGCAAUGCAAAAUAAAUAGAGCAAGCAAAAUGAAACACACGGUGAUCACGAAAUAUAUGGAAGUCUUCUGGAGCGUCGGUCUUGGGGCGUUACACCUCCCCCUAGAUGGGGAGAGGUUAUCCCUCUGGUCCUUGGCCUUCAUGGCGAUGAUGGCCCCUCAAGGAUCCUCCUCCAUGGCCUCCGGUGAUGAUGGCCCUCUCCAGCAGGGUGCCAGAGAGGGCCUAGAUUAAUUUCUCGUGACUACAGAGGCUUGCAGCGGCGGAACUUCCGAUCUAGGUUAUUUUCUGGAGGUUUCUGUAUUUAUAGGAAUUUUUGGCAUAGGUCUCACGUCAGGGGGGGUCUUCGAGUCGUCCACGAGAUAGGGGCCCACACCCAGGGGGUGGGCGCGCCCCCCACCCACGUGGACAGCCCGAGACUCUUCUGGCCCAACUCUUUUACUCCGGGGGCUUCUUUUGGUCCAUAAAAAAUCAUCAAAAAUUGGCACGUCAAUUGGACUCCGUUUGGUAUUCCUUUUCUGCGAUACUCAAAAACAAGGAAAAACAGAAACUGGCACUGGGCUCUAGGUUAACAGGUUAGCCCCAAAAAUCAUAUAAAAUAGCAUACAAAUGCAUAUAAAACAUCUAAGAUGGAUAAUAUAAUAGCAUGAAUACUUCAUAAAUUAUAGAUACGUUGGAGACGUAUCACGGAGCGGCUCGCUUGCCUCUGGAAGGGGGCUGGAGGCCGGUGCCUUCCCGGCCGCUCUACGGGCCUUGGUGAAGGCGCUAGGCGGCAUGGUCUCGCUGCUCGAAGAUGAAGCCAAUGCUGGGGGUGCACAGCCACCAGUGAUGACAAAUGGAGGAGCCCUCUGCACGCCUCCUGCCCCCCCAGGCCAGGCCGCGAAGGAAGGACGCUGGAAGCACAUGCUCACGGCCCCCCAGCGGCGCAUCUGCCCCUCGGACCGGCCCCGUACCUCGCGCGGGAGUCUGGUGCAGGGGGCUUGGAAUCAAGAGCGGGCCAAGGACUUCUGGGGGUCGCUUCCCAGGAGGUUACACCGCCGCAGCCGAAGGGAUCCUAUGGAGCUAUGGUCAGGAAAGGACGCGGCACGCGGGAAUCACGAAGAUAAGGUACUUACUCAUCUAUGGCUAUGUACUUCCUCUGCUUCAGUGGCCGGUAGGCAUCACCACUGCAGCUCGGAGGCCCUUUCCUCUUGCGGAGUGCUUCGAGGUUCAGGCGAAGCUUGCCAAAGUUCGGGGCAUGGCUCUCGGCAGCUGGAGCACUCGGCAGGGAUUCUGGGCAGUAGCCUCGGAAGCAUCAGGCUGCACCUACCCACCAGCCGCCACCUCAGGACCACUUGCCCGAGCUUCGGAGGCAACCACCUCAGGAGUGUCGGGUCGCGCCGGCUCUCCAGCGGCCCCCUUAGGAGCGCUCGCCAGAACUGCAGGAGCGGCUACCUCGGGAGCACCCGACGACACCCGCUCCCCAGUGGUCGCCCCAGCGGUACCGGGCGGCGUUUGCCCCCCUGCAUCCACAUCUGGGGCGUGCGCCGCAGGGUCGACGAGCAAAGGAGCCAGGAAGAUGGGAUUCUCGCGAGGCCCCUUAAAGCCCUCCGGGCGCAACCCCCACUCGUCAAAGAGGGGCUUCUGCCUCACGAAGUCCUCCUUGUUCGAGCAUUGGUACAAGAGGCAUCCCUCCUCUGGAAGCGCGGCUAGCGCUGGGUCGCCCGUCAGGAGCUCGAGCAUCGCGCGCAGCGUCUUGGAAGGAAGCGCAGGCACCUGGAGCCUCAUGGGGUCCUUGCUGCCGGUGAAGGCCCACAUUGGGCAAGAAUGGCGCUGGAGCGGGGCGAUGCGCCAUCGAACGAACUCCUUCAUCACCAUCGGCACCGUCAGCCCGGCCUUCUUCAACCGGGCCAGCCUGGACCAGACAUGGGCAAGCCGACGGUCGACAAGCUUCACGUACCCCCAGCCGGAGUUGGGUACCGCCGGCACUCGCGGAAGCAGGAGCAGGGGGCUGAGCGUGCCGGCGUCCACAAACACCCACUGCUUCCGGAAUCCCUUCACAUCUGGGCAGAGCGUGAAUUCGAUGCCCGAGCUAGCCGUCGCUGCCACGGCCUGGAAGUCCACGCAUCCCGAGUGUUGGCGGGCGUCGACUAGAUGGAGCGAGAAGAAAUGGUGAAACAAGGCAACGGAGGGAGCAAUGCCCACCAUAGCCUCGCACAGGAAGGUGAAGACAGCGAGGAGGAUGAUGAAUUGGGGGUCCAGAUGCAGCGCUUGGAUCUGGUAAUGCAAGAUGAUAGCAUUGAAGAAAUCAGAGAACGAGGGAACCAAGCCAGCCAAGAGAGCGUGAAGAUGGAUGGGGAUCUCGGUGGCCUCCCUGUCGAUCGCAGCCCGGGAGGCGAGCCAAGCCAUCGUCGCCUUCCACUCAUUAGAGUCAGCGGUGAGAGGAGGCCGGACCUUGUCCAUCCCUUCCUGAUUGAUCACCGUCGACUGCUCCAGUGCAGGCUCCAAGACUGGCCGGGGUUCAACCGGAGCACAGGCCUUUCCCUUCUUCAACCGUGGGGCCAUGGCGGAAAGGAAGGAUUGGCACCAGCGCCAAACCUGGGAGAGAGGUUGCAAGUUAGAGGGAAGAGGAGGAGCCAAGGGUGAGUACGGCAAGCAAUGAAGGCAGAGCUACGCUAGCAACGGGCGACCGCAAAGCCUGGCGGAUACCAAGGCUGCGUGGGGAAGUAUAGGGGCGCCCACGCCCCAUCAAUCGCCACGCGUCGACCGAGGCCGCAGGCGGAUGGUGCCCGUGGUGCUCCGAAGCCAAGUUCGAGUGCGCCUUGGGCCCGGGGGCUACUGUCGGCAUUCUGGGAACGGGGGUACCCAGACUUGCCUACCUGCGGCCCACGGUGUGGCUCCAUCGACAGCCUGGUACGGCCCAGCUUCAGCAUCAACAACUCAAGACCCUCGCGAGGGGCCAAGCCUCGCGAAGCGGACAACACCAAGACCUCCAGAAGGAGCGGCCUCCUCAGGCUAGCUCCUGAGGAGCGGAGAUCUCUAUGCAAGCCCUCACCUCGUGAGGUUCGGAUGACGUGAGCCAUGACGACCAAGGCCAGGCGGGCGCCAGCAGGCGCAGUGCAGCAGUUUCCUCUUUGGUGCUAAAGAGGCAAGCGCAGGCGCGGAGUCCCGAGGAAUCAGCCAAAGGUUUCCAUUCCCAUGCAACGAGACCAAGACCGCCAGGACGGAAGGACGGAGGUCAUCGUCGAGCCCACCAUGGCAUCACGACCAGAGGCUUUGCAGGCGAAGACUACUUUUGUCAGGAUAGGAUGUACUAGUUGUCCCCCUUCGAAUUUGGCCGUUGUGGGAUCCCUUCCCGCCUUCAUUUGGGAAGAGGACCAAGGCCACUAUAAAUAGGACUUAGCCACCACCGUGGAGCGGGGAUCGAUUCCAUCCACACACCCACCAGCUCACUCGAGCGCAAGAACACCUCUCCUCCUGAGGUUGUUCGCCCACUGUACUAGUUCAUCCUCAGCCCCUCGAGGCCAAACCACCACAAAGCAAGAGUAGGGUUUUACACCGCAAGGUGGCCCGAACCUGGGUAAACUGUUGUGUCCCAUUUCCUUACAGUUUGUCGAGCUAGGCUGUGAUAUUGGCGAGUAGGCAGACUGGGGAGGUUGAGUUCUUCGCACGCACCCCAGAGUUCGAACCUCUCAAGAGUCUGCGGAGCCCGAAAUCCGACAGGUGCACUCAGCAUGCCCCCACUGGGUGAAUUCCCAUUCAGCGCGGCCUAACCGGUCCGAGUGAAGACCUAUAAACAAAAAUUUCUCAGACCCCCGCCGAAUCAAACAUUCGACGGCGGUCUUGGGGACUACACCCAAUGGGUGCACUCGGCGUGCCCCCACUGGAUCAAUUCCCACUCAGGAUGGCCUGACCGGUCCGAGUGAAGAACUACGAGCAAAUGGGCACUGGCAUCAUAAGUCAAAAACACCCAGUGGGUGUACAGAGUCAAGAUGGAGAAGAAAUAACCCAAUUAGAAAUCAACUUACAAUCGCACUUACUCGGACAUUCGCCUGAAGAGCUGUACUGGCAUCAUAAGCCAGUUUGCUGGCUUCAUACGCCUCCCUCAAAUGCUGCAUCAUCAGAUUGGCUUGAAUCAUGGCCUCUUUGCUAGCCCCAAUUUGGUCCUCUAGAACAUGAUGCAGAGUGAAGACAUGAGGUGGCGGACUCGGUGACGCAGCCAGAGGGAUCAACACUUGAGGCUGACCAGUCGGUCCCGAAGCUGGAGGAGUCGAUACCAAAGGCAAAGCAGUUGACAAAGGGGCAGCAGAGAUAGCACCAGCUCGAGACGAGCCACCUUGUUCCUGAGAUGUGAUAAUCCCCAAGUGCAGGGAAUCAUCGUAGCAAUUCCCAAUGGUGGAAGUGAUAAGUAUGGAGUGUCGAACCCACAAGGAGCUAAAGGUAAGAUCAAUAUUCUCUCAAGUCCUAUAUGUCACUGAUACGACUCUACGUACACCGAGCAUUUGCUUCCAAUUAGAAACAAGAAAUAAAACUACGUUGUGGGUAUGAAGAGGAUAACUUUGCAUGAUAUCGGAGAGCUAAAAUAUAAAAGUAGGUGUUGUUAUCAUAAAGUUAGAAUAUAUUACUAAAUAUUAUAAAUAGCGGGUGUGGAAUAAUGAUGGGUCAGUGUGCGGAAUUAUCCUGGGCAAUCGUUAACAAGACCGGUAAUCACUAUCGCAAUUUCAUAUGAGGGAGAGGCAUAAGCUAACAUACUUUCUCUUCUUGGAUCAUAUGCACUUAUGAUUGGAACUCUAGCAAGCAUCUACAACUACUAAAGAUCAUUAAGGUAAAACCCAACCAUAGCAUUAAAGCAUCAAGUCCCCUUUAUCCCAUACGCAACAACCCCCUUACUCGGUUUUAUGCUUCUGUCACUCAAGCAACCCACUAUAAGCGAAUCAUAAACGUAUUACAACACCCUACAGCGGGAAUCCCUCACGCUUGCGUGACACAGAGGGCACAAUAGGACAGCACCAAAAUAAAACAUACAAGUCAUACCAAUCUAUAUCAUCAAUCAACCCAAAGACAAAGGAUAUGUACUCAAAACAUCAUAGGAUGGCAACACAUCAUUGGAUCAUAAUAUGUGGCAUAAAGCACCAUGUUCAAGUAGGGAUUACAGCGGGGUGCGGGAGAGUGGACCGCAUAAAAUAGAUGAGGAUGGUGAUGAUGAUGGUGAUGUUGAUGAAGACGAUCACCGCGGUGAUGAUUCCCCUCCCGAUGGCACUCCGGCGCCACCGAGAGAGAGGAGGAGAGGUUCUCCCCCUUGUGCUUCCUCCUCCAUGGCCUCCCCCUAGAUGGGGAGAGGUUUUUCCUCUGGUCCUUGGCCUUCAUGGCGAUGAUGGCCCCUCCGGGAUCCUCCUCCAUGGCCUCCGGUGACGAUGGCCCCCUCCGGCAGGGUGCCAGAGAGGGCCUAGAUUGAUUUCUCGUGGCUACAGAGGCUUGCGGCAGUGGAACUUCCGAUCUAGGUUAUUUUCUGGGGGUUUCUGUAUUUAUAGGAAUUUUUGUCAUCGGUUUCACGUCAGGGGGUCUCCGAGUCGUCCACGGAUAGGGGCCCACGCCCGGGGGGGUGGGCGCGCCCCCACCCUCAUGGACAGCCCGGGACUCUUCUGGACCAACUCUUUUAGUCCGUGGGCUUCUUCCGGUCCAUAAAAAAUCGUCAAAAAUUGGCACGUCAAUUGGACUCCGUUUGGUAUUCCUUUUCUGUAAAACUCAAAAACAAGGAAAAAACAGAAACUGGCACUGGGCUCUAGGUUAAUAGGUUAGUCCCAAAAAUCAUAUAAAAUAGCAUAUAAAUGCAUAUAAAACAUCUAAGAUGGAUAAUAUAAUAGCAUGAAUACUUCAUAAAUUAUAGAUACGUUGGAGACGUAUCAGCAUCCCCAAGCUUAAUUCCUGCUCGUCCUCGAGUAGGUAAAUGAUAAAAGAAAUAAUUUAUGAAGUGUGAAUGCUAGCAAGUGCACAAGUUUGAUCAAUGAUAAUUUCAAUCACCUUUUCUAGCAUCAUUAUAUGUCAUAACAGUAGCUUAUCUCAUAAAACUUUUCAUGAUCAAGUAACAAGCUAUUCACAUGUUAAAGUAUAGAUCAUAAACUUUCUUGAAACUAACAAACUAUAUUCUCAGUCAUCAAACAAUUGCAAUUCAUCUUAUUUUUAGGAAGGGUCUAUGUCAGAGCUUUGAUUUAGCAAAUUCCACAUACUCAACUAUCAUUUAAUCUUUCACAAUUGCUAACACUCAUGUGAUAUUUAUGGGUUCAAAGUUUUAAUCGGACACAGAGAAAGAUAGAGGCUUAUAGUUUUGCCUCCCAACCUUUUACCUCAAGGGUAAUGUCAACAAUAAUAAUUUAUGAAAACCUACAUCCAAGUGGAUAUAUAUAUAUAUAUAUAUAUAUAUAUAUCUGGAUCGCUCCAACACAAAGUGCUUGCCAAAGGAAAAAGUGUAAAAAGGAAAGGUGAUGAUCACCAUGACUCUUGUAUAAGGGUAGAAGAUAAAAGUAAAAGAUAGGCCCUUCGCAGAGGGAAGCAGAGGUUGUCAUGCGCUUUGAUGGUUGGAUGCACAAAAUCUUAAUGCAAAAGAACGUCACUUUAUAUUGCCUCUUGUGAUAAAGACCUUUAUUAUGCAGUCCGUCGCUUUUAUUUCUUCCCUAUCACAAGUUCGUAUAAAGCUUAUUUUCUUCACACUAAUAGAUCAUACAUAUUUAGAGAGCAAUUUUUAUUGCAUGCACCGAUGACAACUUACUUGAAGGAUCUUACUCAAUCCAUAGGUAGGUAUGGUGGACUCUCAUGGCAAAACUGGUUUAAGGGAUGUUUGGAAGCACAAGAAGUAUUUCUACUUGGUGCAAAGAAUUUGGCUAGCAUGAGAGGGAAAGGCAAGCUCAACAUGUUGGAUGAUCCAAGACAAUAUAACGUUUCGGAUAUAGGAAAACAUAACCCAUUAAGUUGUCUUCCUUGUCCAACAUCAACCUUUUAGCAUGUCAUAUUUUAAUGAGUGCUCACAAUUAUAAAAGAUGUCCAAGAUAGUAUAUUUAUAUGUGAAAUCUCUCUUCCUUCAAUAUUCUUUCAUGAAUUGUUCAAGUGACCAAUUUUGUGUUUGCUAACUUUCAAUAAGUUUACUACCUAUACUUAUUCUGUGUGAAGUCAUUACUCCCCAUGGUAUAAGCAUAUGAAACAUAUAAAUUCAGAUUUAUGAUAUUUAACUCAUUCAACCAUUUACUCAUAGGAUAUAUGUGAAGCACGUGAGUAAAUGACAAACUACUCCAAAAAGAUAUAAGUGAAGAACACUGAGUAGUCAAAUAAUUAACUAGCCAUGGGAGGAUUCUUUUUCAUUCAAGAUUUCAGAUCCAAUGAUUUUAUUCAAACAGCAAGUAAAAUUGAAAAUACGCUCCAAGCAAAACACAUAUCAUGUGACGAAUAAAAAUAUAGCUCCGAGUAAGGUAUACCGAUAGUUUUGAAGACGAAUGAGGGGAUGCCUUCCGGGGCAUCCCCAAGCUUAGGCGCUUGAGUCUUCCUUGAAUAUUACCUUGGGGUGCCUUGGGAAUCCCCAAGCUUAGGUUAUUUCCACUCCUUAUUCUCCUCAUAUCGAUAUCUCACCCAAAGCUUGAUAACUUCAAUCACACAAAACUUAACAGAACUUCGUGAGAUAGGUUAGUAUGAUAAAGAGUAAACCAUUAACCUUGGUACUAUCAAAGACAAGGUUCAUAAUUGUUCUCACACAAUGCCUACUGUAUCAUAUCAUUUCUACAAUUUAUAUUGAUAAAUAUAAGCCAUAGAAACCAGAAAACAAGCAAACUAUGCAAUAAAAACAGAAUCUGUCAAAAACAGAACAUUCUGUAAUGAUCUGAACAGAAACCAUACUUCUGCUACUCCAAAAAUUAUGAAAUAAAGAGGAAUUUGUCUAUUACUCUUCUGCAAAAAGAAUCAACUCAAAGCACUCUUCUGUAAAAAAUGACAGCUAAUCUCGUGAGCGCAAAGUUUCCGUUUUUUACAGCAAGAUCACAUUAACUUUCACCCAAGUCUUCCCAAAGGUCUGACUUGGCACUUUAUUGAAACAAAAGCUAUAAAACAUGAUUACUACAGUAUCUUAAUCAUGUAAACACACAAAAACAGUAAGGGUAAAUAUUGGGUUGUCUCCCAACAAGCGCUUUUCUUUAAUGUCUUUUAGCUAGGCAUGAUGAUUUUAAUGAUGCUCACAUAAAAGAUAAGAAUUGAAACAUAAAGAGAGCAUCAUGAAGAAUAUGACUAGCACAUUUAAAUCUAACCCACUUCCUAUGCCUAGGGAUUUUGUGAGCACAUAAUUUAUAGGAACAAGAAUCAACUAGCAUAGGAAGGCAAAACAAGUAUAACUUCAAAACUUUAAGCACGUAGAGAGGAAACUUGAUAUUAUUGCACUCCCUACAAGCAUGUAUUCCUCCCUCAUAAUAAUUUUCAGUAGCAUCAUGAAUGAAUUCAACAAUAUAACCAUCACAUAAAGCAUUCUUUUCAUGAUCUACAAGCAUAGAAAUUUUUUUACUCUCCACAUAAGCAAAAUUCUUCUCAUUCGGAAUAGUGGGAUCACUAAUUCCUAAAGUUGACACUCUUCCAAACCCGCUUUCGAUGAUAGUAUUAUUCAUACUCCAAAAGAUAUAAGUGAAGUUCAUGGAGCAUCCUACAAUUAAUAUAGACUAACCAAUAUCCAAGCUCAAAAUAUAUAAGUGAAGCACACGAAGCAUUCUAUAAAACCAUACUCAAAAGAUUUAAGUGAAGCACAAAGAGCAUUCUAUAAGGUCAUACUCAAAAGAUAUAAGUGAAUCACAUGAAUCAUUAUAUAAAUUGAUGAAGGGACAUCCCAUACUAGUAUGGUUCUUAAAGAAAAAUAAAAACACAAAGGACACAAAUCAUGUGAACAAAACAAAAACCGAGGUAUACCGAUAAUUGUUGAAGAAGAAAGAUGGGAUGCCAACCGGGGCAUCCUCAAGCUUAAAUGCUUGAGUAUCCUUGGAAUAUUUACUUGGGGUGCCUUGGGAAUCCCCAAGCUUGAACUCUUGCCUCUCUUUAUUGUUCUCACAUCGGUAACUCCUCGUUCUUCGAACACUUCAUCCACAAAAACUUAACAAAAACUUUGUGAGAUCCGUUAGUAUACUAAAGCAAAUCACUACCUUUAGGUACUGUUGCAAACUCAUUCCAAUUUCAUAUUAUCACUUUAUCUACUGUAUUCCAACUUCACCAUGGUUCAUACCCCCCGAUACUACCCAUAGAUUCAUCAAAAUAAGCGAUCAACACAUAGAAAACAGAAUCUGUCAAAAACAGGACAGUCUGUAGUAAUCUGGAAGUUUAGUAAACUUCUGUAACUCCAAAAUAUUUAAAAAAAUAGAUGAAAAUUUAAAAAAAUUUUACAAAAGUAACGUGCAAAAAGUUUCAGACCCAUUUGAAUUUCCAGUAAAAAAAUGUAAAUUCACGCACUACAGCCAAAGUUUUUGUUUUUGUACUGCACAUAGUAAACAAGCAAUCUAAUCAUCCUAAAACCAAAGCUUGGCACAUUAUUUUUAUAAUACAAUGGAUAUAUACAAGGGGAUAAUUAUUUUCAGAGAAGCUUCCAUGAAAUUUUUUACAUUGUUUCCAUGAGCAUGAACACAAGUGUUCAAGGUCGACCCUCACUUCUCCAAUGCAUAACCUUCCAAUCACUUCUCUUAUUGAAAAACUUUUUAGGCAUGAGAGGCAAGUAAUUUUUUUUGUAUUUUCAUUCUUAAAAAGAAUUGUGUGUUUCACCCACAACUAUAUAGAAACAAAAAGGAAAAACAAAAUCUACUUAGUGAAGAAAGCAAACAAGCACACACGAGAAUAUCAACCCCACGCUAUUGCUCCCCGACAACGGCCCCAGAAAAGAGCUUGAUAAUCCCCAAGUGCAGGGAAUCAUCGUAGCAAUUCCCAAUGGUGGAAGUGAUAAGUAUGGAGUGUCGAACCCACAAGGAGCUAAAGGUAAGAUCAAUAUUCUCUCAAGUCCUAUCUGCCACUGAUACGACUCUACGUACACCGAACGUUUGCUUCCAACUAGAAACGAGAAAUUAAACUACGUUGUGGGUAUGAAGAUGAUAACUUUGCAUGAUAUUGGAGAGCUAAAAUAUAAAAGUAGGUGUUGUUAUCAUAAAGUUAGAAUAUAUUACUAAAUAUUAUAAAUAGCGAGUGUGGAAUAAUGAUGGGUCGGUGUGCGGAAUUAUCCUGGGCAAUCGUUAACAAGACCGGUAAUCACUAUUGCAAUUUCAUAUGAGGGAGAGGCAUAAGCUAACAUACUUUCUCUUCUUGGAUCAUAUGCACUUAUGAUUGGAACUCUAGCAAGCAUCCGCAACUACUAAAGAUCAUUAUGGUAAAACCCAACCAUAGCAUUAAAGCAUCAAGUCCCCUUUAUCCCAUACGCAACAACCCCCUUACUCGGGUUUAUGCUUCUGUCACUCAAGCAGCCCACUAUAAGUGAAUCAUAAACGUAUUGCAACACCCUACAGCAGGAAUCCCUCACGCUUGCGCGACACGGAGGGCACAAUAGGACAGCACCAAAAUAAAACAUACAACUCAUACCAAUCUAUAUCAUCAAUCAACCCAAAGGCAAAGGAUGUCUACUAAAAACAUCAUAGGAUGGCAACACAUCAUUGGAUCAUAAUAUGUGGCAUAAAGCACCAUGUUCAAGUAGGGAUUGCAGCGGGGUGCGGGAGAGUGGACCGCGUAAAAUAGAUGAGGAUGGUGAUGAUGAUGGUGAUGUUGAUGAAGACGAUCACCGCGGCGAUGAUUCCCCUCCCGAUGGCACUCCGGCGCCACCGAGAGAGAGGAGGAGAGGUUCUCCCCCUUGUGCUUCCUCCUCCAUGCCCCCUAGAUGGGGAGAGGUUCUUCCUCUGGUCCUUGGCCUUCAUGGCGAUGAUGGCCCCUCCGGGAUCCUCCUCCAUGGCCUCCGGUGAUGAUGGCCCCCUCUGGCAGGGUGCGAGAGAGGGCCUAGAUUGAUUUCUCGUGGCUACAGAGGCUUGCGGCGGCGGAACUUCCGAUCUAGGUUAUUUUCUGAGGGUUUCUGUAUUUAUAGGAAUUUUUGCGUCGGUUUCACGUCAGGGGGGUCUUCGAGUCGUCCAGGAGAUAGGGGCCCAUGCCCAGGGGGUGGGCGCGCCCCCCACCCUCGUGGACAGCCCGGGACUCUUCUGGCCCAACUGUUUUACUCGGUGGGCUUCUUCUGGUCCAUAAAAAUCAUCAAAAAUUGGCACGUCAAUUGGACUCUGUUUGGUAUUCCUUUUCUGUAUAAGUCAAAAACAAGGAAAAAACAGAAAUUGGCACUGGGCUCUAGGUUAAUAGGUUAGUCCCAAAAAUCAUAUAAAAUAGCAUAUAAAUGCAUAUAAAACAUCUAAGAUGGAUAAUAUAAUAGCAUGAAUACUUCAUAAAUUAUAGAUACGUUGGAGACGUAUCAAGAUGCAGCUGCAGGCAGUGCCCGGGGCGUUUCGCUCGACGGCACUCUCCGAGUGAGGCUGCAGGAGACGGUCAAGGUCGUACCCUCCCCUCUUGUGUCCUUCUAAGGCUCGUCUUCAUCGUCGUCCGCCAGGUGGAUGAUGUUCAUUGGCUCUGCAGUCACUCGACAACAACAUCAAUUUUAUUGAUCGUCGAAUCAAUCAGUGGAACAGAGCAGAGUGAAAACCGGUCAUACCUUGUCGGGAGGUGGUCGCGUCUGCAGUAUCCACCUCCGCAUGUUCCUUAUCAAUUUGCAUGGGUGAUGUUGUAGAAGUAGCAGCUCUGGCACACAAUUCUUAGUCGGUCAGCAAAAGUAUAAAGAUCUGCAAGAGUAAGAAAGAGAUAACACUCAUGUUGAAGCUACAGGCACGGUGACCUUUAUUCUGGGCAGAGCCUUCCGAGGUUUCGGUGGAGCGACCUUGAGAUGCUUCACGAUCUUCUCAGUCGGAUCUGGCGUCGCCGUCCGAGUGCGCUUCGGGUUCCUGCCACUCGACGCCAAGGCCUUGCCCUGGUUGGCACUCGGAUCUUGGUUCGCUUUGGUUCGGCGCUCGGUGCAUGGAGGAGACUCGACCUCUUCACUAUCUUCUGAGUCGUCACUGCUGCCCACUGCUGCCCUUAGUAUCUUCGGCAUAGCUGUCCCGAGCACUCCCACCUUCACUCUCAGCACCUUCAACAAGUUGUUGUCCGUUCAGCACAGGUGAAAACAUCUUCAUGGACUCCUGCGAAGUACAAAAAUAAAAGUCAGUCGGCUUAUCAAUCCAGUCGGAUGUUGGAAACAAAAGGGAAAAGACUCGACAAGGUAAUUCUCACCUCCCCUGGUGGGUGCUCAGCGUCGAAGGGUUGAACCUGCUUGGAUCCACGUGGAUUGUCAUGAGCUCCAGUGAUGCUGCUAAGCCAUUGGAUCACGUUCUCGUCCUUGACCUCCUCUUGAUGAGUCUGAGUGGAAUCGUCUAGACCUGUGUAGUGCCACAUGGGAUGGCCUCGUGCUUGCAGGGGCUGAAUCCGUCGACUGAGGGACACCUCUAACAUAUCCAAGCCCGUCACUCUGCCUCGAAUUAACUCAACUACAGAUUCUACCAAAACUGCUACUUCAGCUUUCUCCUCCUCGUCCACGAUCAGCGAGCAGGGAGCGUUGAUCCUUGCAGAUGAGUAAGGAGGAAGGCCAGCCGACUAACUAGAAGAUGGAAUGUCGUUGCAGUAAAACCAGGUCGACUGCCAACCUCUAACGGACUCGGGAAAGGACAUUGCAGAGAACGCACUCCUGCCUCUCAUCUGGACACCUAAACCACCAUACAGCUGAAUCACAUGGGUCCUUUCGUCACUCGGAUUUGCUUUCUUGACUGACUGAGAAUGACACGUGAAGAUGUGCUUGAACAACCCCCAGUGAGGAUGACAACCCAAGAAAUUUUCACACAUGGAGACGAAAGCAGCAAGAUACGAUAUGGCAUUCGGGGCAAGAUGGUGGAGUUGCACACCGAAGAAAUUCAUAAAUCCUCAAAAAAAGGAUGGUGAGGCAAGGAGAAACCUCUCUCCACAUGGGUGAGGAGGAGGACCCGCUCUCCGAGGCACAGCGCAGGCUCGACCUCCCCUCCCUCUGGCAGCCUCCAAGACCCUGGGACCAGCAGGCCGUUGGCGGCGAGCCCGUCGAGGUCCUUCGUCGUGACCGUCGACGGCAGCCCGUCGCCCUGGAUCCAGCCCGGCGGUAGCGCGGCCCGAGAACUCGACGCCUUCUUCCCCUUGGUCGCCUUCUUGGCGCGCUCUAGCUUCGCCAUCUCCGUGGUGGUGGUCGGUGCGGAGCGGGGCGGCGCAACGCGGAGGCGGAAGAGGUGGAGAAGCGAGGAGAAAGGGGAAAAGAAGAGAACACAGUUUCACCCCUCGGCCGCAUCGCCCUUUAUAACUCCGUGCCCGAGUCACCGACACCUGGGCCCACGAGAUCCCAGCGCAUCCUACUGAACAGAGACUGCGCAGUACGUGGCGAUAAAGGUGGAUCGAUAAUCGAGGAGUCCCGCCCCACUUACCGCGCCGUUGCCGAUCCGUGCGCUUCUCCAAAUUUUCGAAUCCCGUGAGAUCCAGAACCUGGUAGAACGAUCGAUUGCGUCAGAAGAUUUCCUUGUUCAUUCGGGUCCGACCCGAUGCUCGGGAUCACUCGGUCGCACAUCGAUCCAGAAUCGAUCGAGGCGAUUGAAAAGGGAUUAAGCAGUGCGGGUAUCUGCAGAUCUCUAAAACGCCUCCGAGGCAUUGAGUCUAAUGAGAACCCGCUCCUAUCCUUUUCCACUCGAACCCCGAUCCAUUCGGGGGCUAAUGACGAGGACAUGUACCUAGGGUAGGCUCCUAGGCCUGACCUACAUACCCUACCCAAGGACACUGCAUACAAGUAUCCAAGGCCCACAAGGUUAUGAAGGAGUCGCCGACUGGGAUACCUGCAACUUACAAGUCACUCGGAGGAGGGAUUCACUCAGUGAUCUCACCAACACUCGACUGCCACUGCUCACUCGGAGUACCAAGUGUCACUCGACCACAGAAGACUUAGAGUCACCCCGAGAUAGCAAUAGUCAGGCGAUCAAUUCGCCGGCAUAAAGAACAUCUAAUGCUGGUGUUACAUGUAACUCUCGCAUCCUUUAACCUCUCUAUUGAACCCUUGGGUGACGGGGCAUUCAUGAAGGGCUAGCAGAAUCUAUAUAAGCCGCCCCUCUACCCCUGCACAAGGGUUCGCACCUCCUGUAACUCAACGCUCCAGAAAAACAAAGCUCCCGCUGCACCGAGACGUAGGGUCUUUACCUCUUCUAAGAGGGGCCUGAACUCGUAAAUUCGAGUGUACAACCACACCAUAGCUAGACUCUGUGCCCUCUCAUACGUACCCCUAUACUCUACUGCCAGGUCUGUUUCCAUGACAUUUGGUGCGCCCGCUCCCGCGCACUGGACGUGGCAAUUGAGCGCGUGAAUCGCACCAACCGCCAGAUCUGAAACCUCCAGGCGUUGGUGCCGCCACCCGCACCUUCCCCAUUCGCUCCCGCGACCCGUCGGCGCUACCUCCACCUAUCCCCGCGCACCGUCGUUGCUUCCUCCACCUUCUCUCCUCACCGCCUCCCUCGAGUGCACUGUUCCUUCGACAAACAGCGCCCGGCGGCUGUUUGCAGCUUGGCGCCCACAAGGUGUUUGAAAAAACGCUUGCAAGGUAUCUAUUGCUUCAACUUCAUAUUUGUAGAUGAAUUUGGUGCAUGUUGUUUGUAGUUUUAAAUUAGUUUAAAUUCAACUGUGUAGAUGAGUUCGUCCUACGAUUCUUCCGACGAAGAAUUUGAUAUUCAAGAGGAGUACAUCGCAAUGAUCCUAGCUAUGCAUGUUAAUAAAAAGCUGAAGCACGGUGGUUCGGUUAUCGGCCAUAAAAAAUUGUGGAGGGAUAGGAUCGAUGCCCACAACAAAUUGUUGGGGAACUAUUUUUUGGAGAAUCCCACAUACCCCGAGUCCUACUUUCGGUGCCGUUUUAGGAUGAGCAUCGAGUUUUUCGAACACAUUGCGGAGAAACUGGCAAGCCAUGAUCGGUUUUUUCAGCAAAGGAGGAAUGCCGCCGGAGAACUCGGGCAUAGCACCUUUCAAAAGGUGACCGCCACUUUGCAUAUGUUGGCAUACGGUAUUCCGAUGGAUCUAGUUGAUGACCACUUGGCCAUGGGUGAGAGUCAAGCCAUCAUGUGUGUCAAGCGCUUUGCAGUCGGAAUUGUGCAAGUGUUUGGUCCAGAAUAUUUGAGAGCUCCCAAUGUUGAAGUCACCGCAAGGCUUUUGGAGAUGAACAAAGCUUGCGGGUUCCCAAGUAUGCUUGGCUCAGUAGAUUGCAUGUAUUGGAGUUGGAAGAACUGUCCUAAGGCAUGGCAUGGACAAUUUCACAGCUAGAAAAAGGGUUCCACUAUAAUCCUUGAAGCGAUGGCUGAUCAGGAGACUUGGAUUUGGCAUUUUUUUUGGAAUGCCUGGAUCUUUGAAUGGCAUCAAUGUUCUUAAUCGGUCACCACUCAUCAAUAAGGUCGCAAAUGGUGAAACUACGCCGGUGGAGUUUGUAGCAAAUGGUCAUACAUACAACCAUGGCUACUAUCUUGCGAUGGCAUCUACCCGAUGUGGCAAACAUUUUUGAAGCCAUUGACAGCACCGCAAGGUAAGAAAAAUCUUGAUUUCCAUAAUGCUCAGGCGGCGGCUAGGAAAGAUGUGGAGAUAGCUUUUGGGAUUUCGCACGCCCAAUUUGCUAUUGUCAGAGGGACGGCUAGAUUUUGGGAUCAAAAGAUCCUUUGCUACAUCAUAAACGCUUGUGUGAUCAUGCAUAACAUGCUCAUUGAGAAUGAGCGUGGGCAAGCUUUAGACUAUUCUCAGUAUGAGUUGUUGGGACGUCCCGUGCAAGUGCGGAGGAGGGCUGCGAGGGUGGCCCAAUUGAUUGCCUCCUAUCAUGCCACUCGACGUACCGAAAUGCAUGAUGAUCUUCAAAAGGAUCUAAUCAAGGAGUGGUGGGCAUGGAAUGGGCGACAUAAUUAGUUUGAUGUUGUAUUAUUGAACUAUUUGUUGAAUUGGAAGAUAAACUAUUUGUUUGAGUUAUAAUAAUAAUGGAACUAUUUAUUGUUGAUUUAUUUUUUGUGUUUGAUCUUCUUGGUUCUAUGUUGAGUGGAAAAUAUUGUUUGUGUUGGGCGCGCGCUAUAAUUUUAGAGCGCCUACGAGAGCGCUACCUGCGGCACAAAAUAUAACGCUUCUGUUAAAGCAGAAUACCUGCUCCGCUCGCCAAAACACUAUUUUGACGUUGUAAAAGUUUUUUAGCGCAUCGCGCGUCUGUUGGAGAUGCUCUAAGAUGGCUUAUGCACCUGCACAUGGAUGGAGUACUCCUUUGUAAACAAAUACUCACUCCUUUUCGGUUUAUAGGGCUCAUCUCAAAAAGUUUUUUUCAUUUUAUAACUCUCAAUUCUACUACUUACCAUCACAUGUUCAGAUUUUAAGGUGUAUUAAAUCACUACAUGCAAGGAUGAAGAAAAACCUCACCAAUGCAUGUAGAAGUUCUUGGUCAUUAAGAGCAUCUCCAGCCCUUCGACGCCUCCAGGGACAGAAAUAACGCCUCCUGGGGGCUAGCCGGCGCUAUUUUGGCCAUGGGGGCGGUCGGGUUCCUAACCACGGCCCUAGGUCGGCUCCCAGACACCGUUUUUUGAAUUGAACUUCGGCUAAAAUUAGACGAAAAAGCCACUAAUUCGCUAAUAUUCGGCGGUUUUCAUUCAUAUUUGUAUAUAAUAAAGAAGACAUAAUAAAACAUAAAAAAAAA
rnacentral:lncRNA from 1 species